AAGGAUCACAACUUAGAGCAGUUGAGAGCUCUAAGAGUGUCAUGGGGCUUCCAUGGUUUUCAAUUGCUUCAGCUAUUCCGAGGUCAAUGGCACAUCUUACCACCGCGAUUUCAGUAAACCCGAACACAUAUUUCCACAUCUCCGCUGUGGCCCCUUCCUCUUCCUCUUCCCAUGUCAACUCUCUUUGUUUCUCUUCCAUCUUUUGUGUGUGUUUCUCAGGCUCUAAGCUAGCACUAUAUAUACACACAAUUUACUGGAAGAGAUUAGAGUUGAAGCUUUGAUGAAAUACAUAUGUUCAACACUUACGAAAAAUCAAACACUUCCAUUGUGAUUUCAAAUAUUCAACCACCCAAUUUCAAUGUGUAUUAAAGAAGACUUUGUCUAUUACUGAUUAAUAUCGUAUUGAUUUUUUUUAGUACAUCUAUAUUUUUACACUAGAAGAAGGGAAACUUUAGUUAAACUACACAAUGGACAACCUAAUUUGGUAACGAAUUCGCCAUUCACGAAAUUCGAACUUAUGACCCCUCACUUCUAAAUGAAGAUGAAUACUACCGUAAUACUGAGUGGUAAUAUCCUAUUGAUUUUAGGCAAAGACUUUUCGAAGGAUGCCUAAAGUCCGAAGUAGUAACAUCAGGACGAUGGAGUCGAAUUGUCAGAACGUUUGUGUCCAAGAUCAGCUCGAAACUAAAAAAACAAUAUAUAUAUAUAUAUAUAUAUAUAUAUAUGUAUGUAUGUAUUGAGACGGAUAUUUUGGGAGUUUAAUCCAACUUUUUAGUGAGGUACUCUCUGUCUGUAUUUAUUCUAUCAGUUGCUCUCAUUUUCUCUUCCAAAUAAAUCAUUUUUAAUGAUAAAAUAAAGGAAGUGUUAUUGGUACUUUAAAAAAAUUAUUCUACAAUCAUCAUAAAUGUAUUUUUCUUUUUAAAUAUAGAAAGUUUAAAAUGUAGAAUGUGAAAUUUGGAAUGUCAGUAAUAAUUCUCUAAAAUAAUUAUCCAAAAACUCUUUCUUUCUGCCACCUAUUUUACCGUAAAACACUUUCUUUUUUGCUCAAAUGAUACCCUAAAUUCUAAAGUAGAUAAAAGCGAAAAGUGAAAGUCGAAUUCUUGAUUUACAUGUUUUAAGUGUUUUUACUCCUCAAGUUUUUAGUCUCAUAGUUGGAUAAGUGGUUUUGUAAAAUUUAUUUUAAAACUUUUCCCUUUAUUUAUUAGCAUCAUCGCAUGCAAUUAAACUCCAUAUUUGAAUAGCACUAUAUUGCCCAAAAACAUGCCCAUUUAGAUUAGAAAGUCUCAUAACAGCCACAACAAGUUUCACAAAUUUUCAUUGCCAACCCGCAAAGCAGACUACACAUAGAAAGACAAAAGGACCACAAAGUAAAUUUAAAAUUACAACGAAACACUUAUUCGAGAAUACAAAUUCACAUCAUUAAGGAAAAACUUGUAUAACAGAAUAUUGGAUAGCAGGAACAGGUGACAUUGUGUCCUUAUGAACAGCUUCUCGGCUCUUUUCAAGGAUACAACUGCAGUCUUCGUCACCCCAGUCAUAAAGAACCCCCUACAAUCAACCAAAUUGUCUGUGUAUUAGAGCAGUUCCACCAUGGGCUAUUGCCCGGUGGACUGGCAAUGGAACAGGGCCAGAGAGCCUGAGUGACUUGGUCCAGCGUGUGCUGGCGAUGGAGCCCGAGCGGGCCUGAGGGAGAGGCCCCGCACGAGUUGCCAGCCCGAGAGCCCGAAGGCAACGUGACGCAAGGUUGACGUCUGGGCGACGUCAGCCACAUUUUUUAUGUUUUUUGCGUCAGGCGAGUGCUCUUCAAGCACACAUGGGCACGCGUCUUCCAACAAUAUUUUAGACAUGGGGCCUGCAGUGCAUUUUACAAAUGUUACCAUUGGGGAGGCCACGUGGCUUCUCCUCGUCCGUUGGAUUUCAACGGCAACAAUUUAUGGACAGUUGCAUUUCCAACGGUAAAAAAAAAUUAAAAACUUUAUUUAAUUUCAGCAGUUGGAUCUGAGAUCAACGGUCCAAGUUAUUCGUCUUUAUAAAUUAAAAAAAACUGUUUAAAAAUCAGAAAUAUUACCGUUGUGCCACAUGGCACAAUCUGAAGUGUUGGAAUUCAAAAUUUUUUUAAUCCAACGGCAGAGAUUAAUUAGGUGAAUAAAAAAAUUUUAAAUGUAAAAAAUUAAUAAAAAUCCAAAAAAAAAAUUUGAAAAAUUAAAAAAAAAUUGAUUUUACUUUUCUAUAAAUACUUUCUCAUUAUCUUCUACCUUACACCACAAUUUCAUAUUUUCUCAACUACUUUCAACUACAUUCCUAUCUUUCUCUCAAAGUUUCAAUCCAAUUUUUUUUCCAACAAAAUGACUACUGAUGCAGGUAUGAAUUGGACGCUUAUUGAAGAUGUUGCGUUGUGUACUAGCUGGGUUGAAGUUACUCAUGAUCUGAUUACGGGUAAUGAGAUACAGUUGCGAGAAAUGUGGAGUCUUAUUUAUACCAAUUUUCUUGAGAAAAUUAGUGGGAAAAUAACCAAAGAAUCGAUGUCCAGUCGUUGGAAAUUACUUGGCCAAUCGUUUAGUACGUGGAGAGACGCCUUGGCACAAGCUAGUAGUAAUCUUCAAAGUGGGGAAAAUUUAGCAGAUCAGGAAAACCUCGCAUCUCGCCCUUCUUCAGAAGCCUUUGCAAGUCCAUCUCAGUAGGCCUCCGGAGGUACUCUGUGGUGUAGAUAGAUUCGAUUGCUCUGCAAAACCUCAUCAGGGACUCAAGAAUGGUUGAUUUCCCCAUCCUCGCUAUCUCAUCCACUUGGUAUGCAGAUACUCCAUAUGCAAGCAUCCGCAAGGCAGCAAUAAUUUUUUGCUCAGAAAUGAGACCCAUAACACCAAAAGUAUCAUUCUUUUGUACAAAGUAAGAAUCAUGGUUGCAAACAACAAUCAUGAUUUUGUUGAACAAAUGUUGUUCCAUUCUAAAACGACGUCUAAAGUACAUAUCAGGGAAUGCACUGUUACAGACAAAAUAAUCGUCCAAGAGAUCCGUACCUCAUCAUUGCCUGCUUCUAUCAAGGUUUGCGAAAUGGCUUGGCCUGCAUAUCUGAGCCACAACUUGGAUGACUCGACUGGAAUGUGAAGCUCUUGCCAUUCUUGCUUCGUCAUCUCUCCUUAUACGCUCAUCAUCCUCUUCCAUCUCAUUUUGGGCCACCUGGAGAUUGAACGUUCCUUCUUAUUGGUUAAACAAUUAUUCCUCUUGCUGAUUGAUUUCCCACGUCAUCUUUAAAGAAGAAGACAUUGUAAGAAGGAAUGAGAAACUAUGAAUAAUGAUACAUAUUUUGAUUUUGGUGAAGAAGAAAGCAAAAACUAUGAAUAAUGAUAGAGAUCUUAAGAAAAUUGGCGUGAGAUUUCUGAGGAUGGAUGGUGGAUUAUAUGGAGGAUUCAUAAGGGAUUAUGUUGUAGAUAAUGCCAUAUGGAAUGCCAUCAUUCGUUAAAAAUCUGAUCAAAAUCUAUCCUCAAAGAUGGUAAACAGAUUGUGACACGUGACGCAACGUGAUUGGUUAAAAAUAUUAUUGAAAAUCUAUCCUUAACGAUUCUGAAAAAGUAACGACACGUGGCACGGCGGCAUUGGAUAAAAAUCUUAUCGAAAUCUAUCACCAAUAAUUGUCUUUUCGGAUAAUGACACGUGGCGCAACGAGAACGAUUAAAAAUCUUAUCCGAAAUUACAAAUAAAAUUAUUUUGUAUUAUUUUAUAAAUAAAAAAAUACUAAUAUUUUAUUGCCUAUUACCAGGGCUAUUCAGUGUAAGGGUGGAGAUGCAAAAAGUUGUUAUUGUUCAUUAAGGGCAGUUACUGUUCACUUGGUGGAUUAAAUAGUGAAUAGCCUUGGGGACCUUAGCAACGAUGGAGUUGCUCUUAUAAGGCAUUCUCCAACCCUGGGAUAAAACUCAAAUUUCCACUUCUAUUCCCCCCCAAAACUCAACCCAACCCAAGGCUAAAAUGUGUCCUAAACCCUAAAACUCAAAUGGAAGCUAAAUUUAGCCCAUGAUUAGUGGGGUUGACUCACCAUAUAUGUAUAUUUUAUUUAGUUUUAUAUUUAUAAAUUCAUUGAAUCCAAUGGUUAAGAUCUAAUAUGAUAAAAUUCAAUGGUAAAAAAAAAUAUUUAACGGUCCAAAUUUAAAUCUAACGGCUAAAAUAAUUAUAAAAAAAAAUCUUUUAUUUGUUUCAUAUUUUUUUCAUAGUGUUUAACGAGUUUCAUGGUGUCGGUUAGUGAUUUUUCAAUAUUUGUCAGAAUCUAAAUAUUUUUAGGCUAAAAUGUUCAUAAAAUUAAAUUAUGAUGGUUUACAUAAUUUUUAUUUUAUAAAAAAAGUUACUUUAACAAAAACAAUUGUCGAAAUUCAUUCUUUAAUAAUCUGAGGCUAAAAUUUUAGACCAAAAAGGUUGGAACAAAAAAACUGUUUCUGGGCUAAAAAUUUUAGGUUUUAGGUCAAAGGUUGGAGAUGAUCUAACAUGUGAUUUUGUUGAGCAUGGAAACUUAUAGAAAGUUAAUAAGAGAAAGACAAUAAAGUAACUGCUGGAGGAACCAAUUUUUCAUAAUCACAUUAGUUUUGUUGAUUUCAUAUGUUCAACACUUGUGAAAAAAGAAAAAUCCAUCACUUUCAUUGUGAUUGCAUCAAAGAUUCAACUACCCAAUUUUCAAUAUGUAUUAAAGAAGAUUUUGUCUUAUUUACGGGAUUAACAUCCUAUUGAUUUUAGACGAACACUUUUCUUAGGAUGCCUGAAGACCGAAGUAGUAACGUCAGGAUUUAGGUGUCGAAUAGUCAGACCUAUUGAUUUUAGGCGAUGACUUUUCUUAGUAUCCUGAAGACCGAAGUAGUAACGUCAGGACUCAGGCGACGAAUAGUCAGACCACGAAUAUUGGAAGUCAAACAGUCAGAGUACGUUUGUUGGCAAGGAUCAGCUCGAAACUGAAAAAGACAAUACAUAUGUAAUGAGACAAAGGUAUUAAAUAUCGAUGAUAUCGGAAAUAUUAGUAGUUUAAAAACACCGAAAUAUCGAUGGAAAUAUCGGGAUAAUAUCGAUAUCGAUAAAAACAAUAUGGAAACCACGGAAAUUAUAAGAAAAACUUGAAAAUUUUUAUUGAAACUUUGCAGGAUAUUUAUUUAGUCAAUUAUCUAUUAGUUUAUCAUAAAAAAUUGGAAGGAAAUGCAUUGCAUGAUGGAUUUAACAUUAUCAAGUUGAUUAUAUAGCGAGCUAGCAAACAUUGUGAGUGUAGAAAAUAUGUAGUAAUUAAUGAAAGAAGUUUAAACACACCAUAAUCAUUUAUAUAUAAUGAAUUAGUACAAUAUUUUACACUUUAUACAUUGCAUGGUAAGAUACAUGAGUAACUUAGUACCACAUAGAGUUCCUAUGAGGUUCAAAUUUUUCACUAUCUUCAUCAUCUCUAUGUGUAGAGUGAGUGUAUUGUGAAGAGUAGUUAUCAAAUGAUAAAUCCCUAAAAUAGUUUUGCAUGUAAUUGUUAACAUGCCACCCAUAUGGAUCCGAGAUUGGUUGACCUUGUCCAUAAGCAAAAUCAUUUGAAGAUUGAGUCUCGGAUUGUUUCCAUGAGUCGCUCGAUUCCAUCCCAACAGGAAUGGGAUAUGAAGGGUAGGGAAAUUGUUGGUUAUGAGUAUAACCAUAGUUACUACUUCCCACUCCAACAGAGUCCGAAGUUAUAGAUAACGAGUCAUCUUCUUGACUUGACAAAAUCCCCUUGCAUCUUUCUCUACGAGUAGUCAUUCCCUAUGGCACCAAUUCCUGGUCCUGCCCGCCUACUGCCAUGGUCCUCAUCCUGUGUUGCAUGCGUGAAGUUUGCCUCACCAGUGAAGGGGCUCAUAAAUCCGGGAGGUGGUCCAACAUAGUUUCCAUAUCCACCACCACUACCUUCAGCUCCACUAUAUCCUUCAUCAUUCCCACCUCCGGUGGUAGGUGAGUCUCCUCCUGAUCUUGUACUAGAGCUAUCAUUAGUAUCAGCACGAUGUUGUGGUUGUGUAGGAUUGGAAGAAGGUGGAAUUCCAGUGUUACUUGGUUUUGGGCGCAAAAGUCUUCCAAAGAGUCAGCGCUGCUAGAUCCCACCUCCUCCGUUAAUACUCUUUCUACAUUUAUCCUUUCAUUACGUGCUUCUUCAGCAACUCUGAGAGCUGGGUUGCCUUAAUCAUCAUCUAAAUGAAGAUGUCUAAUCUAUUGAUAAAGUUGGUUACCCUCUGUAUCAUCAUCUUCAGCAACAAUAUCAAACACAUCUAGUGGGUCACCACGGUCGACAUGAUCUAUUUCUGCUUCCUUAUCUCGAAUUUGAAGAUUCAUGUUGUAGUAGCAAUAAACUAAUUUUUCCAACCGACUAUGAGCCAACCUAUUUCUUUGCUUUGUGUGUAUGAGUGCAAGUGUGCUCCAAUUUCUUUCACAAGCAGAUGAGGAAGCUGUUUGUGAUAAUACUUUGAUUGCUAACUUUCUCACAGUUGGUGCAUCGGUCCCAUACAUGAUCCACCAUUCAGCUACAAUGAAAAACAAUGUUGAUAGGCCUAAUAACUCCAACCAAUUCUAUUAUAAACUUAUCGUGAAAUAUGUUUACACUCACUAGGAGACAUUUUUGUUCGAGCAGCAACUGAUGUUGGUUCUCCAAAAGUUCUUCUUGCAUCUUUAAACCAUGUUAGCUGAAUUCAAUAAAUCGUGUUAAUUUAAUCCAACAAAGUAAUUAUUAUAAUUUAAGUAAUUGUGUACCUCAUUUCCAAAUUGGCCAACUGCUGGUGAUGCAUGGUCUAAUUUAGAGUAUACAUUAUGUACAGCACGUAUAAGGGUACCAUCAUCUCCAACACCGGGUCUGUAUUGGUAUCGAUGAUUCAAAUAAUAUGCUGUUCAAAGAAACACAUACUCUAAUAAGAGAAAUAAUACUUAUGCAAUUAAAGAAAUGAAUUACAAAUUAUGACAUAAUUUAUACUUGCUGAAUGCAAAUCGUGGUAUAAUGUUUUAUACCAUCGAUCUUCAAUUAUCUUUAUGACUCACCUUGCACCAUGUUUUCUUUCCAAUUCAUCCUUCACUACACGCAUCAACUCAUAUAUUGCCCCCAUAGUAGGAUACACUUCUGUGUCAACGAUCCGUAAAACUUUGUAAAGAGGUUCAAACACUUGGCACACAUGUUUUGAUUGUGUCCAAAAAGCAUGAUCAAGCACUAUACUUUCCACCAUAUGAUCUACAUUUGAGCGGCUCAAAUUGUGGUUGGCCCAAUCGUCACUAGUGAAUAGUUACUUCAACCAUGCUUUCUUCUUAAGUAGGCUGUUUAAUGCAAUAUAGUUGGUGGCGAAUUGAAUGGUAGCUGGACGAAUAAUGUCUCCUUUGCAAAAUUCACGCAUCUUUGCCAACAACCAACCGUGAUUGUAAAUAUAAUUUGUGAUCGUUCGAGCUCUUUUUACCACAGUAGCAACAUUCUCUCUCUUCCCCAUUGCCUCAAACAUGAGAUCAAUACAAUGUGCUGCACAUGAUGUCCAAAACACAUUAUGAUGUUUCAUUAACUUUAUUCCAGCUUUGACAAAUGCAGAACCGUUGUCGGUCACGACUUGGACAACAUUAUGUUCUCCCACCUCCAUGAUUACAUCCCUCAAUAAUUUGUAAAUAUACUUGUAAUUCUUUAUAUGGUCUGAAGCAUCAACAGACUUAAAAAAAAUUGUCUUUCCCUUGGAGUAUACCAUGAAGUUUAUGAUAGACAAUCUGGUCGGGCCAGUCUAUCCGUCACAUGAUUGUGCAACCAUUAGUUUCCCACUUUGACUUCAACUUGUUCACAUACUCGCCAAUGUCUUUAUACUCCAUAUCCAAAUAUUUAUUUCUUAUCUCAUAGGGAGUGGGAGGUUGUACUCCAACACCGGCCUGUUGACAUCCCACUACCAUAUUUUUGAAAUGAUGUGAUGAUGCUUUCUCAGCAGGGACAUUUUCAUAGAUAAAGAACUUGCUAAUUAGACGCCCCAUUCCCUCCUUCAUAUUACCUCCAGUGAAAUAACUCCAAACACUCUUUUGACGUGCUUUGGAUGACUUAUAUAAACUUGGGGCUAUUGGUGGUGUUGGUUGUGAUUCUCUAAGACUGCCUCCCCGUCUCAUUUGUGCACCACCACUUGUCCCGAAACCUUGUAUUCUAUUAGGAAUUUUAUGAAGGUGUUCUCUUUCCCAUGCUGACUGUUUGGAGGCACGUAAUGCUUGUUUCAAACUGCGUCGUUCUUCAGGUCCCAUGUCAUCAUCACAUUCGUCCUCAUCGUCAUCAUCAUCACUGUCAACCGCUUGGCCAUAGACUUCUCCUCGUAGCCCAGCUCGAAUAUUUUCCAUUCCAUGUGUUAUCUUUUCCUUCUGCUGUUUUUUAUUUUUUAAUAAUGUGCUGAUGAAUGCAUUCACUUCUGGGGGGACAUUAUCGCAUCGUUGGACAUUAUGUGCUGGAUCUAAUCCACUAAGAUGGUACUUAAGUCGUGUUACUCCACCACUCUUCAUUACCCGACCACAAUAUUUGCAAAUUGUGCCAUGUUUGUUUCCGUCUAUUGGGUCUCCAUGUUCCCAAGCUGGAUCACGUUUAGUAACUCCACUGGACAUCUUAAACGUACUUAUAUUUAUUUUUCAUGAAAAUUAGGCAAUUAUUUUUUCGCCAAAAAAUAUAGUAGUGACAGAAACAUAUUAAAUAGGAAGUUAAGAAAAGAGGAAGUAAAGUUAUUUUACAGAAGAAUUAAAUAGGAAGUAAAGAAAAUGAUUGUAAGAAUUUAAGUAAUUAUAAAAAUAAUAUGGAAUAAUAAAACCUAAUAUUAAUGAAUAAUAAUCCAAUUUGAUAAUAAAAUAAUAAAUAACAUUAAACAUAUUAAAAUUAUUCUAGGGAAUAAUUAUACAACAUUACUUAAUUACUUCAAAAAAUUAACAUGCAAGUAUAAAUUACAAUAAUAUAAAUAUAAGUUCGUAAACUUACCUUAAAUAUGGAACCCUUUGUGUUGAAGCUCUGGAAUAGAUCUGGAAUGACUUUGAAAAGGGGUAAGGGAAGAAGAAGAAACGAAAAGGUGUAAUAGAGGUUUUAAUUUUCGAAGGGUCAAAAAAUGUGUGACGAUCUGAUACUCCACCUCUGAGAAUGUGAAAGAAUAACACAGUGGCACACGAUUUUGAAUGGUCUGAAAUUGUAAAAGUUGUCCAUGGUCUGAUACUCCACCAUUAUUUUUGUCCAUGUUCUGAAAUUGUACAAGUUGUAAUUGUAAAAGUUGUCUGUGUUUUGAAUUAUUUAGAUGCUUUUGAAUGAAACCACCAUUAUUUUUGUCCAUGGUAAAAAAAUGUGUGAUCAUCUGAUACUCCACCUCUGAGAAUGUGAAAGAAUAUCACGUGUGGCACACGGUUUUGAAUCUUGAUGCAUGAAACCACCAUUAUUUUUGUCUUGUCAAAAAUUGUACCAUUCCUAAAAGCUGUAAAAGUUGAAUUAUUUAGAUGCUUUUCUUUUCUCACACCGUCACACACCACCUACACACACACACGCCACCGACACACACACACACACGCACACACAGGGAUCACACACGCCACCACACACGCACAACAACACAUGCACACACGACUCAUCUUUGGAUCCUUCUCUUUUCUCCCUUUCCCUUCUCCCAUAAACACACACAUAGAUCUCAUAGAUCUCUCGAAUUCUCGAUCUUUCUCUCUUCUCCCUUUUCCCAUACCCACACACAGAGACCUUUCUCGAUCCUUCUUCCACAUGGCAUUCUCCUACUCCGCGUAUUCCGCCUCGUCGGCGAACCUAGGAACUCUCUGGAGAGUUCUUUUGAUCCUUCUCCGCCUUCCUCACCGAUCCCACCGACAACAACCCCACCUCUGUUGUUGACUCCAGCGACGACCACCACGACCCCCAAUCGCCCCCAAACCCCAACCUCAACCCCCACGUCUGCUUCAACCAAGACCACGCCUGCUUCGCCGUGGGGACAAACCACGGGUUCUGGAUCUACAACUGCGAUCCGUUCUGCGAGCUCUUUCGUCGCGACUUCGACAACGGUGGGGGAAUCGGCGCCGUUGAGGCGCAGAUCUUGGGUUUGAGCAUGGAUUGCACAAAGAUCUGGGUAGCUGGGGGGACGACGUAGCCUCGGCUGCCUUUCCGACGACGGAUCCACGACUUUUUCGAUAAUAUCGAAUGAAUAUAUCGCGAUAUUAUCGAUAUUAUCGAUAAUAUCGCGAUAUUUUGACGAUAAUGAGACUGAUACGUGGGAAAAUAUCGGAGCCUCUGAAAAACGAUAAUAUCAGCGAAAUAUCGCCGAUAUUAUCGAUAUUUAAUACACUGAAUGAGACAGAUGUUUUGGGAGUUUAAUUCAUAAAGAAAAUAGCAAAAAAAGGAAAUAGACUUGUCUAUAAAUAAUAUGUAAAUAAGUAUGCCCAUACUACAAGGAAGAAAAGUUCUGAAUAAAUGAUUUAUUUUAUCUAGCUUGAUUGAUGGUGAGGUACUCCCUGUCUAUAUUUAUUUUAUCAGUUAUUCUUUUUCCAAAACAAAUUAAAUUUUUAAUUAGAAAAUAAUUAUUCAGAAACAGUCAUUAAAGAUAUGAACAGUUUCUCACCGAUGAAAAAUCGUUCAACGAUGAAAAAUUAUUUGAUGGUCGUCACCAAAGAGCUUUAGCGACCACUUUAUAUUUUUUCUGUUGUAAAUUUUAUUUUCAACAUUUUAAUAAACACAUGUAUAGCAUGUGUACAAUUGAAAAUGUUUAUUAAAGAAACAAGAAAUUCAAGAAAAAUAGCCGAGCAAAAUAGAUCGUUUGCUAGGCAGUGGGCAGUGGGCAGUGAUGGCCAACAAAACUGGAAUUAUAGUAAAUAUUUAAGGGCAUAAUGGGCAAGAAAAUUGGAUUCCGAGUUCAUCCAUAUACUCGGAAUUGAAAUACCACCUCUAUUAUGGUGUCCAAUUCCUUCAUAUGAGGAAUUGAAUUCCUUAUUUUGUGUAGGUCCCACCUUCUUUUUUACUUUCCAAGUUUAGUAAGCGAGGGCAUAUCUUGUCAUUGGAAUCCAAUUUUGUAUUUUAAUUUUGAUUAUGGAUUCGUAAACACGUCAUAAGAGUUGUUCCUCAAUCCAAAAAAGGGCACUUAAUUUCAAUUAAGAGGAUGUUGGAUUUCAACUAAAAUUUAAAAAGUGAAUCCUGCCAUAAUCUAACUAGAGUUGAAUCCAAAAGAGGGCACUUAAUUUCAACUAAGAGGAUGUUGGAUUUCAACAACUUGCGAGAUAUGGAGUUGAUUUGCUUGACAUGAACUCAUAAAUUUAAGUCUCAGCAUGGUCCACCACCAACGUCAUCAAUAUUGUCUCAAGUUAAUUAACCACCUAUUACUAAGUGUUGAAUUUUCUUACAAAAGACCUCAGUGAUAUGAAGGUCAUGCAAAAGAUAUAAUGUUAUUCUAUUAUCAUGCUCAAAUACUGAUUGAUUUUCUUCUCUUUAGUUGCUCAUUAGGGUCCCGAUUCUGUCAAGAAAACUAGUCCAGCAGAUAUUGCAUAUGCCACCUAUUUUAACGUAAAACACUUUCCUUUUGCUCAAACGAUACCCUAAAUUUUAAAGUAGAUAAAAGCGAAGAGCGAAAGUCGAAUUCUUGAAGUACAUGAUAAAGUGUUUUUACUCUAAUCUUUGAGUCUCAUAGUUGGAUAAGUGGUUUUGUAAAAUUUCUUUAAAAAAUUUUCCCUUUAUUUAUCAGAGGCAGAUUCUUUGCCCUUCCACUUCCCGUGCCCUCCCAUGUCCUCCUGUUUUAUGUGGCCACGGUUAAGCCACGUAAACAUUUUAUAUUAUUUUUUUAUAGAUAUAAUAAGACAAAAAUGAAUAGUAAUAUAAAAUAUUAAUAUGACUUAACUAUGACAACAUAAACAGAAGAGCACAAAAAGUGGACGAGCAGAGAACCUGCCUCCAUAUUUAUCAGCAUCAUUGCCCAAAAACAUGCCCAUUGAUUAGAAAGGCUCAUAACAGCCACAAGAAGUUUCAUACAAUUUUAUUGCCAACCAUCCAAAGACUGCAAAGCAGACUGCACAUAGCAAGACAAAAGGACCACAAAGUAAAUUUAAAAUUACAACGAAACACUUAUUUGAGAAUACAAUCAUUAAAUUUGUAUUCGUUAAACUUAAAGAAAACUUGAAUAACAGAAUAUUGGAUAGCAGGAACAGAUGUGACACUGUGUCCACUAAAGCCGCCCGACACGAACCGCUCACCCCAUUUGGGCUGGUUUGGUAUUGAUGUGUUUUGAAAAAAAAAAAUUAUUUAUACUAUGCUGUGAGAUUAAACAGUUGUGAAAUAAAGCCGGUUUUUUAAAGUUGGGUUUUGCAACUUUGUGUUUUUGGCUUUUUUCACCAAAAACUGUGAAAAAAAUUGAAGUUGAAUGUUUACCAAACACAAAAAAGCUCUCAACUUGUUUUGAUACCCAUUUUUUUCAGAAGCAUCUCAAUACAAAACCAAUGCUUAUUCAAGCUCCUUUCUUUGCCAUAUCUAACAUCAAUUUUAGAUUUGCUAGCUUCUUGUUUUCUUUCUCAUAUUUUUUGUCGAUACCGGCAUCUAUAAUUAUCACUUUCCCCGUGUCCUUAGGAACAGCUUCCGGCACUUAUUAAGAAUACGAAUGCAGUCAUCAUCACUCCAGUCAUGAAGAACCCCCUACAAUCAACCAAAUCGUCUGUUAAUUAUAAAAUGUCAUUUUGUUGAGCAAGAAAAGUUAUAGCAAGUUAAUAAGAGAAAGACAAUGUAAGUUGCCAUUUAUCACAGUUGUGGAAAGGUGUUGAGCCUUUACUUGACAACAUAAGUUAAAACUCUAUUGGUGACUAAUCUAAUAUAUAAUCAAACAAAAUAUAUCGUUUGACAAAAAAAAAAAAAAAAAAAGAGAGAAAGACAAUAAAGUAACUGCUGGAGAAACCAUAAUUUUUAUAAUCGCAUUAGUUUUGUUGAUUUCAUAUGUUCAACACUAGUGAAAAAAAUCCAUCACGUUCAUUGUGAUUGUAUCAAAGAUUCAACUACCCAAUUUUUAAUAUGUAUUAAAGAAGACCUUCUCUAUUACUAAUGUAUCUUAUUAAUUUACGCAAACUGUCUUCUUCUCUCUGAUCCUCAGAAUAAUUUGCAUAUAUCCAUGUCACCUUUCAAAAGAAGACUUUUCUGAGGACAACUGAAGUCCAAAGUAGUAACGUCAGAAGUCGAAUAAUCAGAGCUCGUCUUGUACGACUUUUGAACGAAGACUUUUCUCAGGAUGCUAUACUCCAACUCUGGGGGAAACUUAAAUUUUAAGUUCUAAAUUUAUUCUAACUUACUUUAACUUUUGGAACAAAUAUGAGUUUUAAUUAAAUAUUCGUUCAUGGGGCAAAUUUAGGCCAAGAUUUCUCUAGUUAGUGGUGUUGGCCAACCAUAUGUGUAUUUUUUUAGUUUUAUAUUUGUAAAUUUGUUGAAUCCAACUGCUAAAAUCUAAUAUCACUAGUACAAAAAUAUGUUUCCGCGACAGAGCAAAUUUCAUCGCACAAAGUGUUGAAGAAGAUCGAGCUAAGAAUGGAAUGUAGAAUCUGUCAAAUAUUGUAAAUGAUUUGUUUCCUUAUUUGUAGUUGACUUAGCUUGAUUGUAGGAACCAUAUUAGGAUGCUUCUGUAACUAUAAAUUGGUGACUCCACCUCUUGAGUAAAUACAAUCAAUUGCAUAUCAAUUUCUUACAUGGUACUAGAGCAUUGAUCUGGGCAACACAACCCUAGCCGACUUCCAUGGCAGAGAACAAACCAUCAGACACGGCUUCGGGAACCAAGUGGGAUAAUCCCAAUCACCAACUAUACCUUCAUCAUUCAGACCAACCCGGUGCUAUCCUUGUGCCGCAGCCUUUGGUCGAAGAUAAUUACAGCACAUGGAGACAAUCCAUGACUAUGGCCUUAACGGUCAAAAACAAAAUCGGACUCGUGGACGGUUCGAUCGUGGAGCCGAAUGGACAGGAUCCAAAUGAAUGGCAGCAGUGGAAUCGCUGCAAUAAAUUAGUCCAAACUUGGCUGCUAGGGUCGAUGUCGAAAGACAUCGCCAACAGCGUGAUUAAUUGCAAGAAUGCUAGGCAGAUGUGGCUGGAAUUGAAGGAGAGGUUCUCACAUGUGAACGUGGUUCAACUGUUCAAUAUCGAGAACGAGAUUCAUGAUUGUGUGUAGGGAAGUAUGUCUGUGGGAUCUUACUUCACGAAAUUAAAGGGACUAUGGGACGAACGUGAUGCUUUGUGCACCUUCCCAAUUUGCACCUGUGGAUCGGUCAAGGAAGUGGCUGCAUACUUGGACACGCAGAAGACCAUGAAGUUUCUUAUGGGUCUCAGUGACUCAUAUGCAAGUGUUCGUAGCAACACUUUACUGCAGGAUCCUUUACCAACCGUGAACAAAGCAUACUCUCUUGUACUACGACAUGAAAAACAAUAGGAAGUAACAGCGAAUAAAGCCCAAGUACAACCAGAUGCGGCCGUGUUUGCCGUGAAGAGAUCCAGCCAUGAAAUCGAAGGAGAAAAAGGUGAGUUGAAGUGCACCAAGUGCAACAAAACAAAUCACACUGCCAAGAAUUGCCGUGCACACCUAAAGUGUGCAUUUUGCGGAUGAAAGGGUCAUACGGCCGACUAUUGCCGCAAAAAGAAGGCAGCAGCAGCCGAGGCUGAUCAUGGUAUCGUGAUUUCCAAGGGGAACCAAGCAGCAACUUGUCUGACGGAAAGGAAGGAGAUGAAAUUCCCAUUCACUGCUGAAGAAUGCAAACAAAUAUUGAGUGUGCUGCAAAGCAAGUCUUCCUCCGCUAAUCAUGUUGGUAAUUCCACAACCCAUGAAGAACUUUCAGGUAAAGCUUUUUCACUUAACUCUAAUGGCAAACAGAGUACUUGGAUUUUGGACAGUGGCUGCACGGACCAUAUGAUCUAUGAUCCCAACCUAUUUUCUACUUCAAGGCCGGUCACUAAUCACACUGUAGAAAUGCCAAAUGGGUCUGUGGCCCAAGUGACCCACAUUGGCAAAGUCAUCUUGUCCCCCACUCUCAUCCUUGAGAACGUUUUGUGUGUCCCGUAUUUCAAAUUGAAUUUAAUUUCAAUUAGCAAGUUAGCCAAUUCAUCUUGUAUAACAAUCUUUUUGAACCAAUUUUGUAUUAUACAGGACCUACGUUCGGGGAUGAUGAUUGGGACGGGAAUUGAACGGGAGGGCCUCUAUUAUAUCGAUCACACCAAGAAAGGAACAUGUAAUCAGGCACAAAAAUCCAACCCAACCCUUUGGCACCAACGUCUUGGACACCCAUCUUCCAGAGUUCUUCCCUUAUUCUCUUUUUCCAAUUUUAAACAAGCCUCUUGUGAUACUGACAAGUGUGCAAUUUGUCCUUUAGCUAAACAAACCAAACUUCCUUUUCCUUCAAGUUCAAUUACUACUCAUUCUUGUUUUGAUUUAAUUCAUAUUGAUAUAUGGGGUGGUUAUAAAAUUGCUUCCAUUUCGGGUGCAAAAUAUUUUCUUACUAUUGUUGAUGACUACACUCGAUGCACAUGGAUUUACCUUAUGAAACACAAGUCUGAUGCUAGGACUCUUCUAGUUAAUUUCAUCAAUAUGAUUGCCACUCAAUUUGAUUCCCCAAUUAAGAUCAUACGUAGUGACAAUGGCCCUGAAUUCAAACUUGGGAGCUUCUAGCGGAUAAAGGGAUAAUCCAUCAAACUAGUUGUGUCAACAUUCCACAACAAAAUGGGGUUGCUGAAAGAAAACAUAGACACUUGUUAAAUAUGGCGCGUGCAUUGCUUAUUCAGGCCGGGCUUCCACCUCGUUUUUGGGGGGACGCCAUUCUCACGUCCGCCUAUCUCAUAAAUCGAACCCCUACUCCUCUCCUUGGUGGCAAAACCCCGUAUGAGAAGUUAUUUCACCGCUCUCCCAAUUAUUCCCAUUUGCGUGUUUUUGGUUGCUUGUGUUUUACUUCUACCCAUACCCAAAAUCGUUCCAAAUUUGAUCCAAGAGCCUCUCGGUGCAUUUUUCUGGGAUAUCCCCAUGGUAAAAAAGGAUAUCGCGUUUUUGAUCUUAGUCAACAAAAGGUCCUUGUUUCUCGUGAUGUGAGUUUCUUUGAAAAUACCUUUCCUUUCUUACUUCCUCCCUACUCCGUUGCAUCCACUGAUCCGCCCAAUUUACACACUUUUUCAUCCUCUCAUCCUGGCCCCUCCUCACAUUUCGACAUGGACCUGCCUUCCCCUCUUGAUGGGCCACCCCUACCCACCGGCCCACCCGAGUCUCCUUUACUCGACCCACCCACGGAUCUACCCCCAUCUUCCCCUGUUUCUUCCCCCCCCCCACACCCACAUCUCCACUUAUCCCUUUACCACUUUCACCCACUGCCGACCUACCUGCUCCGUCCCCCCCACCUCUCACCCCAGCUCCGCGCCGCGGCGGUCGCACCACUCGGCCGCCUGCCUAUUUGCAGGACUUUCACCUCGAGACUAGCCUCCCCUUAAGGACCGCACCAUCGUCAUCAACGAACUUGGUCGCUCGUUCAGGUACGGCUCACCCACUUUCUCAUUUUUUGUCUUAUGAUCAUCUUUCUCACACCCACAAAACAUACCUUGCCACACUUACCCACCUCAAAGAACCUGCCAGUUUCUCUCAGGUCGUCUAACACCCACACUGGCGUGCUGCCAUGAAAUCUGAAAUUGAUGCCCUGCAGGCCAAUGGGACUUGGAGCUUGGUGCCGUUGCCACCUCAUAAACGGCCGAUCGGCUGUAAAUGGGUGUAUAAGGUGAAAUUGAAGGCUGAUGGUACAGUCGAACGCCACAAAGCCCGCUUAGUGGCAAAGGGAUACAGUUAAGUUGAAGGGAUUGAUUACAGGGAAACCUUUGCUCCAGUUGCCAAACUGGUGACAGUCCGUGUCCUGCUCAGUGUGGCCUCUCUGCGUGGUUGGCAUCUCCACCAAUUGGAUGUGAACAACGCGUUUUUAAAUGGUGAUCUUAAUGAGGAGGUGUUCAUGUCUUUGCCUCCGGGUUUCGGACGAAAGGGGGAGCAUAGGGUCUGCAAAUUGCACAAGUCGUUGUACGGUUUAAAACAGGCGUCUAGGCAGUGGUUUAUUAAGCUGUCUACUGCCCUCAAAGCUGCGGGAUUUCAACAGUCACGAUCCGACUACUCUCUGUUCGUCCGAAGUCGUCAAGGUAACCUCCUGGCAUUACUCGUAUAUGUUGAUGAUGUCAUAUUGGCAGGGAACAAUUUGGAGGACAUAGAGAACACGAAAUCAUUUUUAGCCAACCAAUUCAAGCUUAAGGAUUUGGGACGGCUGAAGUAUUUCCUUGGCAUCGAAGUUGCCAGGUCACGGCAUGGAAUCAGUUUUUCGCAACGUAAAUAUGCCUUGGAGAUUUUGGAUGAUGCUGGAUUCUUAGGGGUCAAACCUUCUCGGUUCCCUAUGGAACAAAAUUUAUCACUCACACAAUCCAAUGGAAGGUUAUUAGAUGAUGCUUCGGCAUACAGAAGAAUGGUUGGAAGAUUGAUAUAUUUGACUAUAACUAGGCCGGACCUGACUUACGCCGUGCAUGUGCUAAGUCAGUUUAUGGACAAGCCACGGCAACCGCAUUUGGAAGCAGCCUAUAAAGUGCUUAAGUAUAUUAAGCAUACACCGGGUCAAGGUAUUCUGCUCCCGUCUACAGGAUCACUUCAAUUGCGGGGAUUCUGUGAUGCAGAUUGGGCACGUUGCAAAGACACAAGGAGAUCAAUCACGGGAUACUGCAUUUUGCUUGGGCAAGCACCAGUUUCUUGGAAGACCAAGAAACAGACGACAGUGUCGCGUUCAAGUUCAGAAGCCGAGUAUCGUUCGAUGGCUACCACUUGCUGCGAAAUCACAUGGUUGAAGAAUAUUUUGAAGGAUUUGGGAGUUGAUCACACACGGCCCGUGACCCUAUUAUGUGACAAUCAGGCGGCUAUACACAUAGCAUCGAGUCCGGUGUUUCAUGAGAGAACCAAACACAUAGAGAUAGAUUGCCACCUGGUUCGAGAGAAGAUUCAACAAGGGAUGAUUCGGACAGCUCAUAUUCGAACUGAAAACCAGCCGGCUGAUUUGUUCACCAAGCCAUUAAGCUCGACACAGUUUGAAGUGCUUCUUAGCAAGUUGGGUGUUAUAAACAUACACUCCAACUUGAGGGGGAGUGUUGAAGAAGAUCGAGCUAAGAAUGGAAUGUAGAAUCUGUCAAAUAUUGUAAAUGAUUUGUUUCCUUAUUUGUAGUUGACUUAGCUUGAUUGUAGGAACCAUAUUAGGAUGCUUCUGUAACUAUAAAUUGGUGACUCCACCUCUUGAGUAAAUACAAUCAAUUGCAUAUCAAUUUCUUACACAAAGUAUGCUUGCGCAAUGCAAAACACAAAAUGUCGCGCAAAAUGCUGUUGCACAAAGGCCGUUUGCUCCAUGUUUUGUGCAACGUAGGUGCACCUACGUAAUGCAAAGAUGUUUUGCACGACGCCAGUCUUCAUCGGACAAAAUCAACGACUUUUUUAAAAUCACUUAAUCAAUUUGGGAGGUAGAAACCAGUUGAAUUGUAAUUAAGUAUUCACUUUGCUAUGGCAAAUCAACUCGCCCAGCAAGACGACAUGCCUUUAAAUAAUUGUAGGCUUGUAGCUUAAUUCACAGGAAACCAAUUAUUUAUUGCAUAACAUUGUCAAAUGUGAACCAGAAGAACAAUUUUUGUAUUGAGAAACAUUGAAAGAAAAAUAGUAGAUGUUCGGGGUGUGUGCGUAUGAGAGUGAGACAGAUAAAGUACACGAAAAGUACAAUUUAAAAUAAAAACUAAAAGCAAUUCAGUAAUUUUUAAUAUUUAUUUUUGUUUAUUCUCCCUUCGAUCUUCAUCAACUCUUCUAUUCUUGUCUAUGUUCCUUUGAAUGUCCCAGUUCGCACAUACCACCACUUCACGACUCAUAAGGAAACAGAGAUAUUAAAAAACAAUAACUUGCGCGAUGCACGACGCGCGACGCACCAACCAAUGCGUCACGCAAAGUAUGUUUGCGCGACGAAUAAAUUGUGUCAUGCAAAGGAUUUUUGUGGUCCACUAGUAUAAAUAUUUUAAAUUGAAGAUCGAAUUGGUUCAUUGUAUUCAUAUAGGAUCAAAGAGUGUAGCUCUAAAAAAUCAUCAAAAUCGGAGUUAAAACUACCGUUAAAUCGUGAUUUUUCAUUUAUAACCAUCAAAAAGUUUUGUUCUGUUGCUUGAUCUCUGAAUGUUUGUUUUUUGCAAAUUUUGGUGUAUGCGAUCUCAAAGUAUAUACAAACAAGUUUGACGGUUGGAUCGUUGAAUUUAGUUUCGUAGAAUGUAUGCCAUCAAAACAAUAGAUUCACUAACACUUAGAGUUUAUUUAUACUUUCAUUAAGUAUAACAUAAGAUUUUGUGGUUCUAAUAGUGUAAAUAUUUUAAAUUGAAGAUUGAAUUCAUAUAGGGUCAAAGAGUGUAGCUGUAAAAAAAUCAUCAAAAUCAGAGUUAAAAUAACCGUUAAACCAUAUUUUUUUGUUUAUAACCGUUGAAAAGUUUUGUCAUGUUACUUGAUCUCUGAAUGCUUUUUUUUUGCGAUUUUUGGCGUAUGCGAUCUCAAAGAAUAUACAAACAAGUUUGAUAGUUGGAUUGUUGAAAUUAGUUUUGUAAAAUGCAUAUCACAUCAAAACGAUAACACUUAAAGUUUAUUUAUACUUUCAUUAAGUAUAACAUAAGAUUUUGUGGUAUCUACUGGUGUAAAUAUUUUAAAUUGAAGAUCGAGUUCAUUCAUUGUAUUCAUAUAGGAUCAAGGAGUGUAGUUGUAAAAAAUCAUGAAAAUCAGAGUUAAAACUACUGUUAAAUCAUGAUUUUUUGUUUAUAACCGUCGAAAAGUUUUGUCCCAUUACUUGAUCUCUGAAUGUUUGUUUUUUGUGAUUUUUGGCGUAUGCGAUCUCGAAGCAUAUGCAAACAAGUUUGACGGUUGGAUCGUUGAAAUUAGUUUCGUAUGAUGUGUAUCCCAUCAAAACGAUAUAUUCACCAACAUUGAGAGUUUAUUUAUAAUGUUCAUUAAGUAUAAAAUAAGAUUUUGUGGUAUCUAUUAGUGUAGAUAUUUUAAAUUGAAGAUUGAAUUUGUCUAUUGUAUUCAUACAGGGUCAAGGAGUGUAGCUGUAAAAAAUAAUCAAAAUCGGAGUUAAAACUAUUGUUAAAUCAUGAUUUUUUGUUUAUAACCAUUGAAAAGUUUUGUUGUAACAUCCCACAUCGCCCAGGGGAGUGGAUCAUGUAAGCCUUAUAUGUAUAUUCUCAUUUCUACCUAACACGAGGCCUUUUGGUAGCUCACUAGCUUCAGGUUUCAUCGGAACUUCGAAGUUAAGCGAGUUUGGGUGUCACGCCUCGAUCCCGACAUACGUCCAGGAUUGACACGUGACGUCACCAAGUAUCCGUACAUCUAACAUACACCGUCUCUAGAAUAUGUACCAAGCACGCUCAAGCCUCAAAUUGAGUAGUGAUUUUUCGUAUACUUUAUAGUUGCAUCUAACCUCCUUGUUAGACUCCUACGUACCCUCAUUAAGGAUCAAGCCAUUUGUAGUUCGUCGUUCACUAAUUUAGACAUUUAUUACAACGCGUUCUAACAGGAAUACAUAACAUUCUGUGAUCAAUUAUUAGAACUUGACAUGCAUGACAUUACCAAGUUCAGGGCUACAAAACAAACCAAUAUAUCAUUCAAGAUUUUGAUUCCAUCCAUCAUAUAAAUUCCAUGAUUUCAGUACGAUACUUCCAUCCACAACAUGUAACAUAUCAAAUAACCUACGAAGCACAUACUAUUCUCAAGCCACAUUGGUCAACUAAAAUAAUCAGAAUAAUAACAACCAUAACUAAGGUAAUUCCACAAUCCCGUCAAUCAAUCAAUUCAUGAAUCAAAGAUACAUGAUCUUAGCAUUUAAUUAUGUUAAUCAAUGAAUGCUGUAACAUAUCAUUUCACGAAUUUAACCGAGGAACUCUAUAUAAUUCCCUACUUGGAUUAUGAAUAAAAACAUGGUAAUUCUAAUUUGUAUUCACAAGAUCUAUUGUGGGUAAUUCCCAUUCACUCGAAUCUAGGAUUCUAAGAUAAACUUAUGGAAAUGAACAAGAGCAAGGAUUCCGGACCACUCAACGGAAUCCAACAACAUCAGGUUCCGGACAACUCAACAGAACCAAAAUGUCACGCGGUUUCUCGUAAUCCACCCAGACCUGUCACAUGUAAAAUCAAUGCCUACAUUAUGGGAAUGGUACACUGGGCAAAUCAAGCACUCAUAUAAGCUGCAAGGUUCGGGUGAGUGACAAUAAUACAAGUAUGUGAUAUUUAAUAAAAACAGACAAUCGAUCACAAUCUAUAAACAUCAAGCAUAGAAUCAUGCUUUAUGAAAUCAUAAUCAAGUCAUUGAAAACUCUGUAGGAGUCACCCAGACAUCCAACAUUUUUUUUAAUUUAAGCCAUAAGAUUCCCAAAAACCAUCGUUUAUAUGUGCAUUAAAACUAGGGUUAGAGGGACUCAGUUCGGCCGAAGCGUACAUAUAUGUGACCAAAUAGGAAGUGGCCCCCUAUCGCGGAUUAACCAAGCAUAGUCACUCCUACACAUCUGUUAGGCAGUGAUCACCUAUCGUGGAUUAACCAAGCAUGAUCACCCUUAAGUGUGUGUGUAUGGCCAUACCAAAGAUAUGAGGAUCGCCUAUCGCGGAUUAACCAAGCACGAUCCAUAGAAAAUAUGGUCCCCUAUCGCGGAUUAACCAAGCAAGACCAUGGUCCCCUAUCACAGAUUAACCAAGCAGGACCAAGAUAACUAAGUAGGUAGUGACCCUUUAUCGCGGAUUAACCAAGCAGAGUCACACCUACGAAACUGUUAGGCAGUGAUCACCUAUCAUGGAUUAACCAAGCACGAUCCAUAAAUAAUAUGGUCCCUUAUCACGGAUAUACCAAGCAGGACCAUCCAUAUACCUCUGCUACAUGGUGCAGUCAAUUCAACACACAAGCUACCCUUAUUUCAACCCCUAUUAUUUACAAUAUAGGCACAUGCUCAAUCAACUUCUCAUGGCCACUAGCAUACAUAUCAUGCAAUAUAAAUUCUAUGGAAUACUUCCAAUAGGAUUCUAGGAUCACAUGGUCAUAACCUUUAUCAUUCAUAUCAUCAAGUAAAUACCUAAACACACACACACACACACACACACACACACACACAUAACAUUAUGACUUCCCAUACGCGUAAACCGAUGUAUAUAUUAUCUGGGAUAACUCACUAACUAAUAUAGGCCCACUAAGCCCUACAUAGUCUCUAGUAAUAUUGAAUUUAAUAUUUAAGAUCAAUUUGUAACAUAUUGACUAAAAGUAAGAAUUAAUUAGAUUAAAACAUAUAAGGUUUCCUUGAACCCUCUACCUUGAAUUCGAUUAAUUUUGUUCCUUUGAAGAACCUAAUCGGAACAUAAAAUUACAAUCAAAAGUAUAAAUACAAGUAACACACCUUAAUAACCAAACUAAGUGUUUAAACACAAAAUUAAUAUUAUCUAAAGAAGGUACACUGAUUCUGGAAUCUACCACUCAAAUAAUAUCACUCAAAUAGCAGUAAAGAAGAUUAGAAAGGAAUCUGGAAAAAGAAAAUAGGUGUGGCAAAAACAAUACUCUACUUCUCUACAAAAUCUGCAGAAAACAGCACUAUUGGACCAAGUUUAGGCUCCAUUUGGAACAUUCAGAACUAAACCAAAUCAUGUAAUAUUAUAUGGGUUUUGAAGCUUGUGCUAUGUAAUUUAAAAGCAUACAAAGUUUGUAGAAAAUGGAGCUCUAAAUUGGAAGUCAUGCCAAAAAGAAAAAUGAAGCCUUGAAACUGGAAACCCAGUUUUCUGCUGCUGUUUGGCAGCUCGCGACCCAUGUUUAAAUAAGGUUUUGAUCAACCAAAACUCAAUGGAACUGAGUGAAAACAAUUGGUUUGCGAUCAUGAACAUAUGUACUUUCAACACACUAAAAUUUUUCUCCAAAGGAGUACAUAAAGACCUAGAAAUUGAGAGCCAAAGAAGGCUACUCGAAACUUGAAUUUUCUUUACAAAGAAAUCAAUUUUUUGCAACUUGCAUAACAGUUCACUUCCAAUUCAUAUAACAAAUCCCAAAAUACUUCCAGGUAGUCCAGAAAUCAUGUAUACAACAUCCAAAACUAACAUGACUCAAAAUUAACAAGAAAUUGACCUUUUGAACCAAACCCUUGAUCAAAAAAUUUGAUCUAUACACCCAAUCCGAAUUACCCAACUCUAAUUCAUGUUCAGACUAGUUCAUUGAAUGAUAGAAAACCCUAAAUAAAACUAAGAACUCUAAACGUAUCAUGGCAGUUUCAAUUCCACUUAAGAAAAUUAAAUUCAAAAAUCAAGAUAAUGAAGGAACAAGGAAUUUACCCUUCAAAUCUCUGAAUUCUUCCUUCACAAUCACGUUCUCUAACUCCUCUCUCUUCGAUUUUUGUCUAAAGAAAGAAGGAUUUUCUUCCAAAAGCUAUGGAAGAGCCACCUCCUCCCUGUUUCUUUUCUUCACUUACAAAACCAGGAAGAACGUGAAAGAAUGUUCUCCCCCCCCCCUUUUUUUUCUUCCGCCCCUCUCCUUUCCUUACUCAUGUGCUGCCCUCUAAGUCCCUUCCCUUUUCCCUAAUUGGUCCACCUUAAAUCUUACAUGAUUGGGCCUCUUUCCCACAAAGUGGGAAUUUAUUUAAUUAAAAACUAUAGUUUAGUAAAUGAUUUCAAAUGUCUAUAAUUAUACCGUUAUUAUCCGGACUCGCAAACGGCUUUCGCCUAUGCGUUCGUGGUUUCAAGAUCUAUUCGGAAACGUUACUUAUGACCUCGAAAGGUCAACGAAUUUUAAAUAAUUAUUUUCUAAACUUCACUCUUUGUAACUAAUUUAAUUGAAAUCUAAAUUCAAAUAAAUUAAUAUAAAUUUUCAAAAAAUAAUAUAAAAUCUCAAUAAUACAAAUACGUAGAUUAUAACAGUGAAAUCCAGAAACAGGAUUUCACAUCGGGUGAGAGCAUUCUCAGGAUGGGUGACCCAUUGGGAAGUUCUGCUCGCGUGAGUUUCCAGAAACAAAACCGUGAGGGCAUGGUAGGAGCCCAAAGUGGACAAUAUCGUGCUAUGAUGGAGUCGAGCCCGGGAUGUGGUGAGGGCCCGGGUCGAGAUGUGACGAUUUGGUAUUAGAGCCAAUCUCUGGCCGAAAGUGUGCUGACGAGGACGUCGGGCCCUUAAAGAGGUGGAUUGUAACAUUCUGAUUGAAUGAUCCAAGGGACAUAUCCCUUGUUGUGCUACGGAACUGCAGUCGUGCUUCUUCAAUCCAAGGGACACGACAUGGCACUGCAGCCAUGCUUCUUUAAUUUCAGAGACACUCAAAGGCACGGCCUGCAGCCAAAAGGCAUAUCACUGCUAGCCUUUCCCCCUUUAUCCCACUGUCAACACCAUAUAUAUACAGAGAGCUUAAGGGGAGGGAUCCCCAUUUUUUGAAAAAAAUGGGGAUUAGGUGUGGGGCCCACUUCACAUCUAAUUUCAACGAUCCGAACCGUCUAUUUUGUUAGUCUCGAUUCAUAGAUCAUCCUUGCAAAAAUUCAAUUCAAUCCGAAACCAUUUUCCUAUUGAAUUAUCAAUAUCAAAUUUCAUAUUUUCUUAUAUAACAAAGUAUUCGUUCAUUUCCUUGAAGCCAAUUAGAUGUCUUAAACAUUUCCAAUUUAGCUAAUAUUUUGCAAGGAUGAUCUAUGAAUCGAGACUAACAAAAUAGACGGUUCGGAUCGUUGAAAUUAGAUGUGAAGUGGGCCCCACACCUAAUCCCCAUUUUUUGAAAAAAAUGGGGAUCCCUCCCCUUAAGUGUAUAUAUAUAAUAUGUUCAAUUCCAAGAGAUACACCAACACUACUACCUUUAUCUUUUUUGUUCCGUGUAAUUUUCAAACCUAGACCUCAUGCCAUCACAAUCACAUGGAUCAUUCCACAUGAUUCAUUUACUAGAACACUAGGAUUUUCUUUGUGAAUGAGACAAACAGACAAAACAUUGUAGGUUGAAAAAAUAUGAAGGCAAAGACCUAGAGAAUAUUACUUUGUAUUGAUUGAAUUUAAUACUCGUUACUUUGUAUUUUUUUUUUCUGAAAUGAUUAGUUUCAAAUGCAAGAAAGGAUUAGUUUCUAAUGUUAUAUUUUUAUGGUUCAAAAAGCGUAUAGAUGUUGCAGUUGAUCACUCGUCGUCGGAGUAUGACCAAUGCGCCUCCUGCAUUAUCAACAUCAACUACUCCAGGCAUGAGUGCUCCAUUGAUUGGGGAGCCUACACCCUUUACUGAGGCUGCUCCUACGGCGUCCUAGGUGCCCGUAUCAUUGACGUCAUCAGUGUUGGUUCAGCCACUUAGUGCACGGUGGCCUCACGGCACCGUCGCGAGCCUGAGCCUUAUGAUCACACUUCCUCGGCAUCCAGAGUCGAGGGUGGGGCCUCCCAACCAGGUAGUUUUUUCUAAUUCUAACUACGUUGUAUUUUUUUUCAUUUUAAAACUAUUAUUUUUAUGAUUGUGAAAAUUUGCUAGAUUGUGAAAAUGUGUUGCGGGUUGUGAAUUACGGUUAUUUUACUGUUUAAAGGUUUUGGGAAAUGAUAUACUAUUAGGGGAGGUUUUGUUGAAUUUUUUGUAGAAAUUUAAGCUUUGAGUUUUCACCAUUUAAGAUUUUGCUGAAUGUUGAAGCCGGCACAAAGCGUACGUCAGUCCGCCUCCUUGAUUAAGAUUGCGUAUGACUCGCAACAUCAUGGAACUGCUACCUCACAGCAGCAUAGCAGCGUCGCUACUAGUUAUGGUUAUGUUAUUCAGCAUUGUCAUGUGCAACUGUAGUUUUUUCUUUUUUGUUCGGAGGACAUCUUGUAUGUACAUUUUUAUAUAUUUUAUAAUUAAAUAUUUUUUCUUGGUUUAUUAAUUAUUGUUUAGAAUUUAAUUACAAUAUUUAUUAAUUAUUGUUUAAAAUUAAAUAAAAAUAUUUUUGCCAAAAAAAAAAAACAAGGGUUUGUGCGACGAAUAAGGAACAUGCGUCGAGUAAGCAAUGAGGUUCCUACGUCGUGCAAAACUAGUUUGCGCGACACAUGUCCCUUCUUUGUCGUGCACAAAGUAGUUAUGCACGACGCAGGGUUUAGGGUUUAGGGAUUUUUCAACAUUUAUCGGAAUCUAAAUAUUUUUAGGUUAAAAUGUUCGUAAAAUUAAAUUAGGCUUGUCUACAUAAUUUUGAUGGAUUGGUGACUCAAGGUAAGGCUGGAGAGGGUUUUGUAGUGAGAAAUGACCAAGGUUUAACGGUUGGUGCUGGGGUCAACAACUUAGAUGGGGCCACGAUUUCAAUUGCUGAGGCAUUGGCUCAAGGAGGGCCUUCUUUUUGCUAGAAAGAAGGAUAUCAAGAAGGUGGAAGUUGAAGGUGACUCCUUACUGAUUUUCAAACUGGUUACUAGGGUUUGGAAACCCCCUUGGCAUCUCCAUUCUACUAUCAACGACAUUAAAUGGCUGGCUGCUAGUUUUCACUCUAUUCGUUGGAGGAGUGUUUUUAGGGAAGCUAAUUUUAAGGCUGAUAAGCUGGCUGAUGUGGGGGCUUCGGUUUCGGAUCCCCACUUUUGGGAUCAUUGUCUUCCCCCUUCAGUGUUACAAGCUUUUAACUUUUACUGUAAUGGUUCUGGUUGUUCUAGAGGAUUCUCUUUUUAAUAUAUUCAUUUUCUUAUCAAAAAAAUAGUCUACAUAAUUUUUUUUAAGUUAAUUUAAGAAAAAAAAUUAUCCUUAAUUUAUUCUUUAAUAAUUUCGUGUUAAAAUUUUAACUUAGAAGGAGGAGAAAAACUAUUUUUGGGUUAAAUAUUUUAGGUUUUAAUCCAAAAGUUGGGGAUGGUCCCACGUGGUAACGUCAAAAGUUGAAUAAUCAGAAGAGCUGAUUUGUUCUCUAGGAUCAUCUCGAAACUAAGGAAUAUAUAUAUAUAUAUAUAUAUAUAUAUAUAUAUAUAUAUAUAUAUAUAUAUAUGCAUGUAUUGAGACAGAUGUUUUGGGAGUUUAAUUCAUAAAGAAAAUAGUAAAAAAAAGGAAAUAGCCUUGACUAUAAUUAAUAUGUAAAUAAGUGUCCAUACUACAAGGAAGAAAAGUUUUGAGUAAAUAAUGUAUUUUAUCCUGCUUGAUGGUGAGGUACUCUCUGUGUAUUUAUUCUAUCAUUUACUCUCAUUUUCUCUUUCACAUUUUUCUCUAAAAUAAAAUAAAUUUUUAGUGACAAAAUAAUUAUCUAGAAACAAUCACUAAAGAUAUGAACAAUCUCUUCAGAGAUGAAAAAUCGUUUGAAGGUUGUCACCAAAAAACUUUAUCUACCAUUUUAUAUUUUCUCUGUUGUAAUUUUAUUUUCUAAAUUUUAAGAAACACAUGCAUGGCAUGUGUACAAUUGAUAAUGUUUAUUAAAGAAACAAGUAAUUCAAGAAAAAUAACCCAGCAGUGGGUAGUGAUGGCCAACAAAACUGGAAUUAUAGUAAAUAUUUAAUAGCAUAAGAGCAAGUCUAGCAGUAGAGAAAGCCCGGUGGAUAGGGAACCGAAGCAACCCAAUAGCUAACUUGCUCCAGCUCAUGUGGGCAAUUGGGCUAAAGGGGAGCUCGUGAAAGAGGGCAAACGUGAGCCCAAGGCCUGAGUGCCUGAGGGCUCUAUGAUACAAGGUUGACGGCAGUCACGUUAUUAAAAACUUUGCGUCAAACGCAUGCAUAGCACACACGCUUGGGGAGGCGUCAUCGACAAGAUUUCAAUCGGUGGGGCUCGCGGUUUGAACUCUGAAAUGUUACUGUUACUGGUGCCACGUGGCACCCUCUCGUGGAUUUCAACGGCUAUUUUUUCUGGAAUGACUAGAUGACGUAGCAUAAUCUCAACCGUUCGAUUCCAGAUCAACGGUCCAUAUUUUUUGACUUUAAAAAAGAAAAAAAAAUCUAAUAUGUUACUGUUAUGACACAUGGCACAAUCUGGAGGGUUGGAUUUCAAAUUUUCUUUAAUCCAACGGCAUAAAUUAAUUAAGUUAAUAAAAAUUAAAAAAUGUUAAAAAAUUAAUAAAAAAAUUAAAUUUUUUUUUUAAAAAUUGAUUUUAUUUUUCUACAAAUACCUUAUCAUUAUCUUCCACCUUACACCACAAUUUCAUAUUUUCUCAAAUACUUUCAACCACAUUCCAAUCUUUCUCUCAAAGUUUCUAUAUAUUGUUGUUUCAAAAGAAAGGGCUAAUGAUGCAUGUACAAAUUGGACGAUUAUUGAAGAUAUUAUGUGGUGUUCUAGGCUCUAGCUAGGUUGAAAUUACUCAUGAUCCGAUUACGGGUAACGAGACGCAGUUGCGAGAAAUGUGGAGCAACAGUCGUUCCCUUUUUCUUGAGAAAAUUGGUGGCAAAAGAACGGAACAAUCGCUCUCAAGUAGUUAGAUGAUACUUAGCCAAUCGUUUCCUCGUUGGAGAAACACCUUGGCACAAGCUAGUACUAAUAUUCGAAGUGGGAAAAAUUACAUGGAUCAGGUAACAAUAUAUUAUUUAUUUGUUUGUAUUAUACCCAAAUUUACAUUAGCUACUUUGAUUAUAAUUUUUUCUUCUCACGCAUUUUGUAGACACUUCAAUCACAAGCUUGGUAUAAUGCCAAAAACAAAAACAAAUCAUUCAACUGGUGGGAAUGUUGUUGUCCCAGAAUCAGAGUUGUGCAUGUCGGUCCAGAAGUUGUCAUGAACAACACCCAUCUACACUCUACGCCAAAUCAGGACUCACAUGUUCAUGAAAACGACACAGAACAAGUGCCAGAAGUGACCCCUGAACAAGUGGAGAUGGUUGACCCGUUAUCCACUUAGGCCUCAAGAUAAGAAGGCUUCAAAGAGAAAAGGGAGUGUUUCCAAGAAUGAUCAUGCAUAAUAUAUGGAAGAACUUGCUCGCCAAGGUGAAUUGACUUUGGCGAGGGAAAUGGCUAAAUUUGAGGUUGAUAAGGCUAGAUAUGAGGCAAAAGUUGUAGCUGCUGAGAGAUUAUUUCAAGCUAAUGAGAGAGAAAGAGAGCUACUUAGGCAAGAAAGUGAAGAGCUUAAAGAACAAAGAAUGGCUCAACAAGAUCGUGACAUUAUGAAGGAACCUGUAGAUGCGAUGUCUUUGAAUUCUAAAUAUUUUUGGAAUUCGGAGAAAGUGGACGUGGUGCGAAGGAGGCGUGCAAGAGAUGAGAGAGCAAGUAGAGAUGGUUCUAGCACCACAAAUUGGUUAGGUGAUGAUUUUCCAUUCACAAGGGACUAGGGAAUUUGUUGUGUCAUUGAAGCCCAUAAUUUUCCAAUCACUUUGAGUUGUAAUUUCGUAUUUAUUUAAUUUGGUACUUUAUGUAAUUUCGUAUUUAUUGAAUUGAGUACUUUAUGUAAUUUUGUAUUAUUUUGUUUGUACCAUACUUGACCAAUCGCGAAACUACCAAGCACCGGUCAACGUUAUACCGUCAAGGACCUAGAAGAGUUUCCCUCCAACCAGGAGGCCAAUCACAGCGCAACACGUGUCAACACCAAGAGGCCAAUCACAGGGCGACGCGUGUUAACAUCAAAGGCCAAUCACAGCAUGACACGCGUCAAGGCCAGGACAAAGCUAGAAACUCUCUUCUAUAAAAGGAGAUCAUUCUCCCAUAAUAACCCCAAAUGUCAUUUGUACUAAAUCAUUCACUAGUACUCACUAAAGGAUAGCUUAAAUCUAUGUACUUGUGUAAACCGUUCACAAUUAAUGAGAACUCCUAUACUCCGUGGACGUAGUCAAUCUGGGUGAACCACGUACAUCUUGUGUUUGCUUCCCUGUCUCUAUCCAUUUACAUACUUAUCCACACUAGUGACCGGAGCAAUCUAGUGAAGGUCACAAACUUAACACUUUCUGUUGUACCAAAGUCUUCACUGAUUUUGUGCAUCAACAUUUGGCGCCAUUUGUGGGAAAAGCACUUAUUCCUACCCUCUUCAGCUUUGUCAAGCUGGUUUCCACCAUUCGUACACUCCCUUUUGACCAGGCAUCCCUCUUCAACAUGGGAAGUGAAGGAAGCCACAUCACGCAGAACGACACCCCUCUCGCACCUGGUGCGAAGCAACGAAAAAAGGAACAAAAGAAGUUUGCUCUUCAGGCUAAAGUCAAUGAGCUGGAGGCUCAGAACAACAAGAUAGCGAUGAAGAAUGAGAUCCUCCAAGAGCAGUAUGAGAAGGUCUUCGAAAUGCUCCACGAGGCUAGAUAUACUAAAACACACAAGCUCAUCACCUAUGUGGAAGUCAACCAUAAACUGGGUGCCCCCCAACACGGAUGGUCAUUUGCCCUUGACAUAGGUAUUCAUGUUGAGAAGUGAGCUACUCAUCGAAAUGGUGACCAACCUGAGACUUCUCUCAACCCAGCUGCUUUGACCUGAAACAGGAGGAGUGGAAGAAGGCACCUCCUUACAGAAGGAGUGGAAUGAUUGAAAGCUGUCUUUCAUGACUGUCGAGACUUCCUAAAGCAACGUCGAGAUAAUCUCAUCCAUGUAAGCUCGAAGAUCAAUAACCCAAGGGUCUCUAAAAGACUCGGUCUUAUCCCAUGUCCCAGGCUGGCUACCAAUUUGGGGAAGGGGCAACAAGUCCUAGAGAAACACGAAGGUAUAGGGGACUCAGAGAUGUUCCGACAGAUAUACCUUGGAAGUCAGUACAGCGAGUCUAGGGAAAAAUCACAUGCUCUUGAUCAAACCUUCCUACUUCUAAGAGGAGAUAGAGAUUUACGAAAGAAAGCUCCAGUGGUACAUGACUCCACUCAGGACCCUCUUGUUCUACAACUCCUUAAGGAAGUAAACAAGUUGAAGGCCGAACAACAAGCUGAAAUACCUGAUUGGAACCAACCUAAGCCUGGCCCUCUUAGAAGGAGGAUCCUCGACACCCCCUCAAAGCAAAGACAAAGCAGAAGCCUGGCUUGCAACUCUAUACAGGAAAUGAGGAUUUUUACUCUCAGCAAGCCCAUUACAACAAGAGGGAUAAAAGUUCAUAUCAAGACAACCAGGGGUGAACGUACUGUCGACUAUUAUAACUAUGGGGCCAAGCCUCACUCUUUCAAAGUGGAAGACUAGGUACUGAAGGAAAUGCUAUUAUAAGAAGGCAUACACAUUACAAAUGUUUUGACUCUUAACCGCUUGAGAUCUUUUAUCACACAAGCCAUUCGGCAAAUAUUUAAAGAAGAGGGAAUUCAGACAACUUUUUCUGAGUCUUUUUCAUUCCUAGCACUGGAACACUUAGUCUAUGCUGACCUACCUCUAUACUCCAACUUAGAGCUUCAACAUGCGUACUUUGAAACAAAGUAUGUGAUACUAAGUGUUACAACCAACAUGGUUCACAUAUCGAAAGCAUAAAUCCCUUCAUGCAUGGCAAAACAUUCAUAAGCAUCAUUCAUGUCAAUUAACAUAAACAUCAUACACUCCAACACAUUCAUACAUAAACAUCAUACAUUCCAACGCAUUCAUACAUAAACAUCAUACAUUCCAACACAUUCAUACAUAAGUCAACUGUUCUUUGAAAGGGUUCAACAUACUUUAUAUCAUUCGACAUUUGCUCAAUGUGCCUUGGCACCUUGCCCUUAUUCUCACCAAAUAGGUGAUGAAGGAACACAUCUUCAUACCACCAACUAGGUGAUGAAAUGUACAACCUGUACUCUCCUUCAUGCCACCAACCAGGUGAUGAAAUGUACAACCCGUACUCUAAUAUUAUUUGGCAACUUGCCACUAUUAUCACCAACCAGGUGAAGAAGGAAAUCAUCUUCAUACCACCAACCAGGUGAUGAAAUGUACAACCCGUACUCUCCUUAAUGCCACCAACUAGGUGAUGAAAUGUGAUGAAAGGUGAUGAAGGAACUCACCUUCGUACCACCAACCAAGUGAUGAAAGCAACUCACCAUUCAUUCCACCAACCAGAAGACGAGUGGUACAACUUGUACAUGUGAACUCCUAGCAUUCACAAAUAAUAAAAAACCCUCAAGCUUUACAACUCAACUAAGGGAGCACUUAUGCCUAACAAGAGUUAUAGUCACCAACAAAGUCUUAUUGCAAGCCAACAACGGCUUCAGUGCAUGGUAUAAGAAGAUCAAGCUCUUCAACUCUCUUGCAUCUACUUCAGACAUUUCUCCUCUGUAACAAUGCAAACACUACAACUCGUAUAAAGCUUCACACACUCUUAAUCAAGACUAUUCGAAGCAAAUUCAAUUUAUAUAGUUCAUCCAAACCUUCGACUGUUACAAGGUGUGGCUUGCAUCACAAUCUCUUGCUUAACAGUGUGGAAGCAAAAUUUGUAUAUGUUGUCUCUCCCACAUUUUCAAAUUUCUAGUUUUCCAAAAAAAAACAAAACAAAACAAAAAGGAAAUUGGGAAAUUCAACAAAGCUUCAUCAAUGGAGGACAACUACAAUUCUUAAAAGCUUCACACACUCUUGAUCAAGAUAGUGUCAAGCAAAAUCAAUUCAUGGUACCCAACAAAGCUUCAACCUCAAAGCUUCACCUACAAAGCUUCAACUACAAAGCUUCACCACAAAAACUUCACCACAAAAGCUUCACCAACAAAAGCUUCAACUCCAAAGCUUCACCUACAAAGCUUCACCUACAAAGCUUCAACAAAUGGAGGGCAACUACAAAUGCCAAAAGCUUCACACACUCGUGAUCAAGAUAGUGUGAAGCAAAAUCAAUUCAUGGUACCCAACAAAAGCUUCAACUCUAAAGCUUCACCUACAAAGCUUCAACACAAAAGCUUCACCUACAAAGCUUCAACUCCAAAACUUCACCUACAAAAGCUUCAACACCAAAGCUUCACCUACAAAGCUUCAACACCAAAGCUUCACCUACAAAGCUUCAACUCCAAAGCUUCACCUACAAAGCUUCAACACAAAAGCUUCACCUACAAAGCUUCAACUCCAAAGCUUCACCUACAAAAGCUUCAACACCAAAGCUUCACCUACAAAAGCUUCACCUACAAAGCUUCAACUCCAAAGCUUCACCUACAAAAGCUUCAACACCAAAGCUUCACCUACAAAAGCUUCACCUACAAAGCUUCACCUAUAAAGCUUCAAUAUAUAUAUAUAUAUUCGAAAAUUCAAAAAAAAAAAUUCAAAAAUUUGAAAGUUCGAAAAAAAGAUAUUUCGAAAAUUCGAAAGGAGAGCCUAGGCCUCCCCUUCUUUGGGUCUAACAACUUUCAUAACAAAUGUACAUAAAAGAGGAGUUUUGAGCUACCACUUAGAAAGGAAAAUGGUGAAGUUUUGUUACUUUGGAAACUUGGCUACUAGGAAGACACCUCCUUCGUCAACUCCCUCGACCGGAGACUUGGGGGACUCCUACCAUAUGCUACUGUACCUUGAUACUCGGAAGUCUCACUACCACUCAGUGACUUGGAUUUCUCAAGUCUCCAACCGAGAAGUUUUCCUCACUCAGGAAAUUAAGGGAACACUUCCUCAACCUACAUGCUUCACUCACAAAGCUUCAACAUACAAGCUUCAACAAAAUAAAAAAUUCAAAGAACUUAGUGAAGAAGGCUUUGGUGUAUUUAACACAAUACGUUGAAAUGAAGCAAAACUUAUUUAUUGAUAUCUCCGAUAAGUUACAAAUAUGUACAUAUUCAUGUACAAAUAUGUACAUGAACCAAAAUAAACAAACAAAAGGGAGCAUUCACAAAGGUUGCUCAGGAGAAGUCUCAGCAGUCGGCAAAGCCCCAGAAAGAAAAGGCACCAGAGGGUGAUCAUUCGGAGCCUCAAUACUGGGCAGAACCCCAGAAGGAGAAGGCACCGGAGGUUGAUCAUUUGGAGCUUCAUUACGCAGUACAGCCCUAGAAAAUGAAGGCAAUAAAUACCUUUGGAAUAAACCCACAAACCUUUGAUGAUCAAGUAAAAUCUAACCAUCAGAUUCCUGCAGCUGGUCAAGCUUCCUCUUCAUAUUUGUAGCAUAGCCAUGUGCGAGCCUGUGCAAUUGUUUAUUCUUAUGCUUGAGCCCUCUAAUCUCCUGUUUGAGACUUAUCACUCAGCCGCCAAUGAUUCAACUUGGCGGGUUUGAGCAAAUAGGCGUUGGGCCAUAUUAGACACAAAACCUGCACACUGAACACUGAGAGCCAGAGAAUCCUUAACAGCCAAUUCAUCAGACCGUUUGGAAAAUAGUAUGUUAUCUUUGGGAGUGAGAAGGUUCUUGGCCACCACCGCAGCGGUCAUAUCAUUCUUCGUCACAGAGUCCCCAACGGUAAUAGGACCAGUAGGGGAUAAGAAAGAUGGGCGCCAUAUGUUGUCUUGAGGAGGCAUGGAUGCCUCUUCACCAAAGUUCAAGUUAAAACGACGAUCAGAUAGGCCAGACAUUUUCAGAAAUGAGGUCCAAUAAAUAUCUGAAGUACAAAAAUAAGGGGAAAAUUCAUACAAGCAAUAACUCUCUGAACGUACUUCUUGCACACAAUUGGUGCCCCUAUAAAAGAAAGGGCAACAGGGUCAUUUGUUCAAAAAUUAAAGAGGCACUACUCUCCAGAUUUCGAGAAGCAGAUUUUCCUGAGUAAAAUAUGUCGACAAUCCCCACAUGCAACAUCAGCUCCUCGGGUACCAUAGAUAACUUUGCCAAAGAUCUCUGACAAAAUUUAGACACAUAAAUUUUGAAGGUCCAGUUACCCUACCAUUACCCACAAGGGUAAAGGAACAACACCACUGCUUGAUAACUGAAAAAUCCCUAUGUGUGUCAACCAAUGUGCUCUGUGGCAAGGCAGACUAGCAAAAAUUGUGAAUCCCGUUCCUGGAUUUCACUGUUAUAAUCUACAUAUUUGUAUGAUUGAGAUUUUAUAUUAUUUUUGAGAAAUUAUAUUAAUUUAUUUGGAUUUAGAUUUUAAUUAAAUUAGUUAUGAAGUUUGAAGUUUGGAAGGUAAUUAUCAAAAAUUCGUUGACCUUUUGAGAUCACAAUAACGUUUUCGAAUAGGUCUCGAAGCUACGAGCGCAUAGGCGAAAGCCGUUUGUGAGUCCGAGUUAUAACGGUAUAGUUACGGACGUUUGAAAUUGUGAACUAUAGAUUGUGGGAAUUAUGUAAUUCUCACAUGUGGGUUAAAGGUUAAGGGAGUUUAAUAAAAGAGGGAGGGACCAAUUAGAAAGGGGGAGUUUUCUGGAAAAAAAGAAAGAAAGGAGGGGUAUGAUUUUUUUUGACCCGUUUUGGGGCGUUUUCGACCCAUAAAACCACAACCUUGACCCGCUUGUAUCUCCUUCAUCCGAUCUCCGUUUUGGGUGAUCUUGGUGUCCAUGGAAAGCUCUUGACGAGCCCUACAACUUUGUAGUGUUAGAUUUUCUAUUUUCUUAUCCAUUUGUCCAGUUUGAGGCAGCAAAGUCCCGUGGGUUUUCCGACGGUUUUGUCAUUUUUCCGGCGAUUCCGGCAACCAUUUCUUUCAAGUGAGGUAUGAAACUUCAUCUUCUCUUCAUAAUCUUCAAGUUGGUAUGCUUAGUUUGUGAUUUCGUAUUCAUUUUAGAGUUGGGUGUGUAGAACCUUAGAAAUCCGGUUUUCACCGAUGAAUUUGGGCGGUUUCCGGUUAGAAUUUGUCGUCGGCCUAGUUGUGAAAUGUGUUUCCCUAGCUAAGCUCUAGCUACCACAUAAAUUUGAGCUUAUUUAGUUAAUAUUGAAAAUUUGGGGUUUCUAAACCCUCCACCUUGACUAACCCGCGUGUGGCGGUGCAUGGGACCGUCCACGAGUGUUGUUUAAGUACCAAAUACCUUUUAGUGACCCUGUGAACCUAUGUCUAGCCCGGUUUCUCGAAAUUCAAUUGUUUGGUGUGGUGAUCAAAUUGGACCGCCACUUAUUUGUGUGAUUGAUGACAAUCAAUCGUUGGUUCGUUGUACAAUUUUGUGAACACCCUAGUUGUCAGUUGUUGGACCUUUGAGAACUUACAGAUCGAAAAUCCAAUGUACGGAUCUUCUGGAUUGAAUAACCGUAGGUUGUUGACCUUAAUGGACCUACCUUAUCGACGGUUGAUGUUCUAGUCAACAUGCUCUACUCUAGGGUGUCACUUAUCUCUAGUUUGUUGUUGAGGCUUGAUGGAGCUUAGUUGGCUCAUCACGAUGACAUGUCGUUUCCAGUUGACGUGUCUCAAUAUAUGUAUUAGCGGCACCAUAUUCAAUUAUACUUGUUUAUUAAAUGUACUUUAUAUUGAAUUGUUAUCUUUAUUUUUUUUAGCAUCGAUCUAUGUUUAUUAAUUGUGAAUCGACUAUAACUUGGAAACGUUUAUGAAAUAUGGUUAGAUAUGUAUGAUUAGUAUGAUGUAAAUGAUUGUUUUUAUGACGAUGUGAACCUAAAAUCUUAUGAGAAGUUUAUGUAGAACUUUUAUGUUUGUAUGAUAAGAUAGUGGUCAUGAGAAGUUGAUAGUGCAAGUGAUUACGAUGUAAAUCAUAACGGAUGAGAUAAGGGUACGUGGGUUGUGUGUUGAUCUUACUACACCAUGUAGUAUUUGUACAUUGAUGGUCCUGCUUGGUAUAUCCGCAUUGGGGGACCAUACGCAUUCUAAGAGUGAUCAUGCUUGGUAUAUCCGCAUUGGGUGAUCACUACCUACCUGAUUAUCUUGACCCUGCUUGGUUAAUCCGCAUUGGGGGGGUCACUAAUGGUCCUGCUUGGUUAAUCCACCUUGGGGGACCAUACUAUAUAUGGAUCGCGCUUGGUUAAUCCACGUUGGGAGAUCCUUAUGAUCAUGUAUGCUUAAGAGUGAUCAUGCUUGGUUAAUCCGCAUUGGGUGAUCACUUUCUAACAGUUGUAGGAGUGACUCUGCUUGGUUAAUUCGCAUUAGGGGGCAACUUCCUAUUUGGUUGCUUAUGUAGGCUUCGGCCAAACCGCGUCCCUCUAGCCCUAGUUUUUAAUGCACUUAUGAACGAUGGUUUUUGGGAAUCUUGGUUGGUUGAAUGGGAAAAGCCGUUGGAUGUUGGGUGACUCCUACGGAGUUUACAAUGACUUGAUUAUGAUUCCAUAAAGCAUGAUUCUAUACUUGAUGUUUAUAGAUUGUGAUCGAUAGUCUAUUUUUAUUGAAUAUCUCAUACUUGAAUUAUUGUCACUCACCCGAGCUCCGCAACUUAUCCGAGUUCCUUUUGGCUAGUGCACCAUUUCCAUGAUGUAGGCAUUGAUUUUACCUAUAACAGGUCUGAGUAGAUUGUGAGAAGCCGCUUAAUAUUUUGGUUUCGUUGAGUGGUCUGGAACCCGAUGUUGUUGGAUUCCGUUGAGUGGUCUGGAAUCCUUACUUUUGCUAAUUCCCAUAAAAUUAGUCUAGAACCCUAGAUUCGAGUGAAUGGGAAUUACCCACAAUGUAUUUUGUGAAUACAAAUUAGAAUUACCAUGUUAUUAUUCAUAACCCAAGUAGGGAUUUAUGUAGAGUUCUUUAAUUAAAUUCGUGAAAUGAUAUGCUAUCUCACUGAUUGAUAACGUAAUUAAAUAUUAAUAUUGUGCUUCGUGAUUCCUUGAUAUGUUACAAGCUAUGGAUUGAGAUAUAAUGUUGGAAACAUAGUGAUUGGUAUGAUGUAGUGAAAUGUGAUUUGACUUGUGUAUUGGAAAUGGUUGUGACAUGUGAUUGAAAUUCUUAUUGAAUUGCUUGGGUGAUGUGAGGUCUAGUAAUAGACCAAUAACCCAUUGUGAUGGGGAUUUGUUGCUCGAUAUAGUUUCGUUUCGUUUAGUCUUUGUGAAUUGACUAACUUGAAUCAUGUCUUGUUCCUUUGAGCCGUAGUUAUGCUUCUUGGACUUCCAUUCGGUUCUGUUGAGUGGUCUGGAACUGAGUUCUGCUUGGAUUCCGUUGAGUGAUGGUCCGAAAUCGUAUCCUGAUUUGGAUUCCUUUUAGUGAUGGUUCGGAAUCCCUUCUACUCAGCAAUUCCAUUGAGUGAUGGUCCAGAAUCGUAUCUUGAUUUGGAUUCUGUUGAGUGAUGGUCUGAAAUCCCUUCUACUUCACGAUUCCAUUGAGUGAUGGUCUGAAAUCGUAUCCUGAUUUGGAUUCCGUUAAGUGAUGGUCCGGAAUCCCUUCUACUCCGUGAUUCUGUUGAGUGAUGGUCCGGAAUCCCUUCUACUCUGCGAUUCCGUUGAGUGAUGGUUCAGAAUCGUAUCCUGAUUUGGAUUCCGUUGAGUGAUGGUCUGGAGUCCCCUUUGAUGCUUUGAUUCUGUUGGAUGGUCCAAAAUCCCCUUUCAAAAAAUGUAGUCUUCGGCCAAACUGUGUCGCUCUAGCCCUGCAUUUCGGUCUAUGAUAUGUGAUAUUGAUUGAUGUGAUUAUGAAUGAUGUUGGUUGUGAUUGUUGCCAUUAUGAUUAGACUUGUUGACCAAUGUGGCUAGAUAAUAACAUUGUGCUUCGUUGACCGUUCUUUGAGAUGUUGCAUACUAUGAUUUGCGGUGAUAUGUGAAACAUGAUGAUUUAUGUGAUGGAUCAAGUGGAAAUGUUAAUCGUCAUGUGGGAUUGUUAUGUUGGAUAUCAUUGUAUUUGUUAUGAUUAGACUUGUUGAUAAAUAUAGCUAGAAAAUAUGUUGUGUUUCGUCGUUGUUCUUUGAUAUAUCGCAUAAUAUGCAUUGUGGUAUAUUGUUGGGACAAAACGUUUUAUGUGAUGGAUAUUCGAUUGUAGUGAAACAAUGAACUACGAAUGGCUUGAUCCCUAUUAAGGGUACGUAGGCAAUCUAACGAGGAGGUUAGAUGCAGCCAUAAAAUAUACAAAAAUUUCUAUGAGAUUUGAAUCUUGAAUUAUGCUAUUUACAUAUCUUGGAGGCGGGGUGGGUUGAGAUACGGGUAUUUGGUGAUGUCAUGUGUCGAUCAUGGAUGUAUGUCGGGAUCGGGGCGUGAUAAAAAUGCCUAACCUUUACUCACAUCGAGAAAACACUCCCAACAGGAUUACUUUCUCAAAAAUCAAAGAAGUACCGCUCCCUGAAUCUCGAAAGCCAGACUCCCACCGGGAUUACUUUCUCAAAAAUCGAAGAGGCACCGCUCUCCGAAUCUCAAGAGCCAGAUCCCCAAUAGGAUUGCUUGUUCAAAAAUCGAAGAGGCACCGUUCUCCGAAUUUAGAGAGCCAAACUCCCAACAGGAUUGCUUUCUCAAAAAUUGAAGAGGCACCGCUCUUCGAAUCUCGAAAGCUAGACUCCCAACAGGAUUGCUUUCUCAAAAAUCGAAGAGGCACCGUUCUCCAAAUCUCGAGAGCCAGAUCCCCGACAGGAUUGCUUGUUCGAAAAUCGAAGAGGCACCGCUCUCAGAACUUCGAAAGCCAGAUUUCCUUGGAUAAAGCUUGUUUGCAAUCUUCACACGCAACAUCAGCCUUCCAGAUACCACAUACCACUUUUUCAAAGUGCUCUGACAAAGUUAAAACACGUGAAUCUUGCAACUCCCACUAUAUUGCUAUGACCGAAGGGUAAAUGAACAGCGUUACUACUCGUUGUUGGGACAAUUCCUAUAUAUGUCGACCUUUAUCCUCCACAGCCUGGCAGACCUGCAAAUAAAAAAAAAUGCUCAACUUUUCUUCACAUCCGAGAAGGCACUCUCAGCAGAAUCUCUCAAAAUACUCAGCUUCUUUUCCCCCCGAUAAUACAUCUGCAAACAUGCCACACCAGAGCAAAAGUAUCUCAUAUCAUCAGGGUUAAAAGCAAGAGUAUCCCAUAUCAUGCUUUUUCCCUGUCUUUUCCUUUGCCUUUGUUCUUACUUGCAAGAUAAGGAGAAAGAAAGCAAUCAGUCAGCACUUAGAAUCAAGCUUCCAGUCAAGAACUGAUUGCCUGGAACUCCUUGCCUAAUUACUUACCUGGCAUUGCUCUCGAGUACUCAUUUUCAACAUCUUAUGCUUUCAUAAAAGAUACCACAUCUGCCUGAGGAACAGAUAGGGCAAGUGAGAAGGAUACAAGGAAGCAUGUGAAGACAAGAGCAACAGAACACAUGCCGAUUUAUCUAUUACUUUGUCAACAGCAAAAGUAUCCCAUAUCAUCAAGGUCGAACGCACUCUUAAUUUGAUGGACUUGUUCUGACCCUCAAAUUGUUGAGUCGACAUUAUACUCUGGAGGAAACCAGAAAACCCUCCAGCCCAGUUCAAGAAUAAGCAUAUGGAAACUUACUUCUUUAAAAGAAAAAGUAUCUCAUAUCAUCUCUUCUCCAUGUUAUUUUCUUUGUCCUUGUUGAUGUCUACAAAACAAGGAGAAGGAAAACAAUCAGCCGGAACACGAGAUCAAACUUUCGAUCUAAGACUGACUGCUUGGAACUCUGAUUGCUUACUUUGUCUGUCACCUCUUUCGGUAGAUCUCCUCGUUCAGAGACUUGGGGGACUCCUACUAUAGGGUUUGUAUCGCGCUUGACCAAGCCCGAAACUACAAGUAAGUUUCAAGUGAAAUUGAUACAUUACCUUGUGCAUCUCCAUCGGUUAAAGAUACCACCCCUGGAUGGAGGAAAAGUACUUCCAGAGAAGAUGCCACAUCUACUUAUGAGACAAAUACAGCAAGUGAAAACGAUACCACACUUCAGUACUUAGAAGUUUCAUGAUUACUCAGCGACUAGGAUCUUCCAAGUCCCCAACCGAGGAGCUUCCCUCACUCGGGAACUUAGGGGAGGACUGUUUGUACCAUACUUGACCAAUCUCUAAACUACCAAGCAUCAGUCAACGUUAUACCAGCAAUGACCCAGAAGAGUUUCCCUCAAACCAGGAGGCCAAUCACAGCGCAACACGUGUCAACACCAAUAGGCCAAUUAUAGGGCGACACAUGUCAACAUCAAAGGUCAAUCACAACAUGACACGUGUCAAGGCCAAGACAAAGCUAGAAACUCUCUUCUAUAAAAGAAGAUCAUUCUCCCACAAUAAUCCCGAAUGUCAUUUGUACUAAAUCAUUCACUAGUACUCACUAAAGGAGAGCUUGAACCUAUGUACUUGUGUAAACCCUUCACAAUUAAUGAGAACUUCUCUACUCCAUGGACGUAGCCAAUCUAGGUGAACCACGUACAUCUUGUGUUUGCUUCCCUGUCUCUAUCCAUUUACAUACUUAUCCACACUAGUGACCGAAGCAAUCUAGCAAAGGUCACAAACUUGGCACUUUAUGUUGUACCAAAGUCCUCACUGAUUUUAUGCAUCAACAUAUUUAAUUUAGUACUUUAUUUAAACUAAGAGUAUCUUUAUUUAAUAUGGUACUUUAUUUAAACUAAGAGAAUCUUUAUUCAAAGAACAUAAACACACCAAACAAAAUUACAUAAACACACCAAAUUAAAAAAAAAAACACUAAAUGAGCCUAAAAAGCACACUAAAUGAACUUAUAAAACACACCAAACAAACUAAGAGCAUUCUUCUUCCCCCACAAGCUUGUUUUUAAGUUUUUUGAGCUUGUUUCAAUCCCCACAAGUGUUCUAUCAAGUCAAUUUGCAUGGAUUUGUGAUAGUAUAAGGAUUGGAGUAAAGUAUAUUGUUCAAUGAGCCUUUCAUUAUAACGUCCAUCUCUUUCUAAUGGCUCGUGUUCCAUGGGUUCUUCGGUGGCAUCAUGAGCACAAUAUAUUUGUGUUUUGGAAUUGUUCAUCGGGUUUGGUUCAAAUUCAUCAAUGGCAUCAUAAUCAUACUCAUCUUCCACAAUCAUGUUGUGCAGAAUGAUACAAGUCAUCAUGAUAGAUCAAAGCGACUCUAAAUCAAACAAUCUGGUAGCACCCUUGACAAUCGCCUAACGAGCUUGGAGGAUAACAAAACAACGCUCCACAUCAUUCCUACACCCCUCUUGAUAGCUUGCGAAGUGUUUUUCCUUUUCACUUCGCGGAUGUGGCACUGUUUUGACAAACGAUGUCCACCUUGGGUAAAUGUCAUCUGCUAGGUAGUAUGCUUCGUGAUAUUAUGUCCAUUGACCCAAUACGUAACUUUUGGUGCUUUUCCUUGUGGGACAUCGUUGAACAAUGGGGAUUGGGUAAGGACAUUGAGGUCAUUUUGAGCUCCUGGAACACCAAAAAAAUCAUAUCAAAUCCAUGUAUCAAAUGAUGCCACCGCCUCCAAAAUGAUACUUUUUGCUCAUUUUUUUGUCCCCAUAAGCUCAUUGCCGUGCACUUGGACAGUUUUUUCAGGUCCAAUGCAUACUAUCGAUGCUUCCAAUCAUACCAAGAAAACCUAGCAUCUCAUCCUUCUUCAGAAGCCUAUGCAAGUCCAUUGUCGUAAGUCUUAGAAGGUACUAUUUGGUGUAGGUAGAUUCGAUUGCGGAGCAAAACCUCAUCAGGGACUUAAGAAUGGUUGAUUUCUUCAUCCUUGCUAUCUCAUCCACUUGGUCUGCAUAUGCUCCAUAUGCAAGCAUUCGUAAGGCAUCAGUAAUUUUUUGCUCAUGAAGGAGACCAACGACACCAAAAGCAUCAUUCUUUUGCACAAAGUAAGAAUCAUGGUUGCAAACAGCAAUCACAAUUUUAUUGAACAAAUGUCGUUGCAUUCUAAAACGACGUCUAAAGUACAUAUCAAGGAAUGCACUGUUACGGACAAAAUAAUCGUCCAAUAGAUCUUACCUCAUCAUUGCCUGCUUCUAUCAAUGUUUGCGGAAUAGUUGGGCCUGGAGAUCUCAGCCACAGCUUGGAUGACUCGACAGGAAUGUGAGGCUCUUUGGCUUCUUGCUUCGUCAUCUUUCCUUCUACACUCCUCAUCCUCUUUCUCUUCCAUCUCAUUUUCGCCCUCCUGGAGAUUGAACAUUUCUUCCCCUUACUUAAACAAUUCUUUCUCUUGCUCAUUGAUUUCCCACAACAUCCUUGAAGAAGACAUUGUAAGAAGGAAGCAAAAAGUAUGAAUAAGGAUAGAGAUUUUGAGAGAUUUUGAGAGAUUUUAAUUUUGGUGUGUGAUUUCUUAGGAUGGAUGGUGGGUUAUAUGGAGAAAAAAGAAAGUAUCAGGUUAGAGAUAAUGUCAUGUGGCAUGUUGUGAUUUGUUAAAAAUCUUAUUGAAAUCUAUCCUCAAAGAUUCUAAACAGAUUGUGACAUGUGACGCGACGGGAUUGGUUAAAAAUUUUAUCCGAAAUCUAUCCUCAAUGAUUCGAAAAAGGUAACGACACGUGGUGCGACGGAAUUGGAUAAAAAUCUUAUCGAAAUCUAUCACCAAAAAUUGUACUUUCGAAUAAUGACAAGUGGCGUAACGAGACCGGUUAAAAAUCCUAUCCGAAAUUACAAAUAAAAUUAUUUUUUAUUAUUUUAUAAAAUAAAAAUACUAAUAUUUAAUUGCCUAUUGUCAUGGCUAUUUAGUUUAUAAGUAGAUAUGCAAAAGGCAAUUACUGUUCAUUGAAGACAGUUACUAUUCAGUGGAGGGCCUUCCUACACUAGAAGUGCUCUAAUGGGCAAGAAAAAUGGAUAUAGGAUGACGUCCAAUUCCUUCAAAAUGAGGAAUUGGAUUCCUUAUUUUCUAUAGGUCCCACCAUUCGUUUUACUCUCCAAGUUUAGUAAACGAAGGCAUAUCCUAUCAUCGGAAUCCAAUUUCGUAUUUUAAUUUCGAUUACGGAUUCGUAAACACACCAUAAGAGUUAUUUUCCGAAUCUAAAAGAGGAUGCUUAAUUUCAACUAAGAGGGUGCUUGAUUUCAACUAAAAUUUAAAAAGUGAAUCAUUGCCUUAAUCUAACGAGAGAAACGAUAGUUGAUGGAGAAAAGCACACUUAUACUUGUGAGAUAAAGAGUUGAUUUGCUUGACAUAUACUGAUAAAAUUUAAGUCUCAGCAUGGUCCACCACCAACGUCAUCAAUGUUGUACCAACUUAAUUAAUCACCUAGUAAAAAUUUUAUCACAAAAGAUCUCAAUGAUAUUAAGGUCAUGGAAAAGAUAUAAUGUUGUUCUAUUAUCGCGCUCAAAUACUGAUUCAUUUUCUUUUCUCUUUAGUUGUUCAUCAGGGUUCCGAUUCUUUCAAUAGUCUCAUAGUUGUAUAUGUGGUUUUGUAAAAUUUCUUCUAAAACUUUUCUCUUUAUUUGUCAGCAUCAUUGCCUGCAAUUAAAUUCCAUAGCAUGGCACUAUUUUGCCCAAAAACAGGCAUGCCCAUUGAGAUAGAAAGGCUCAUAACAGCCACAACAAGUUUUACAAAUUUUUAUUGCCAACCAUCCAAAGACUACAAGGCAGACUACAGAAAGCAAGACAAAAGGACCACAAAGUAAAUUUAAAAUACAACGAAACACUUAUUUGAGAAUACUAAUUCACAUUAUUAACUUUGUGCUUGUUAAAUUCAAUAAAGUAAAUGCUGGAGGAACCACAAUUUUUAUAAUCACGUUAGUUUUGUUGAUUUCAUAUGUUGAACACUCGUAAAAAAAAAAAUCCCUUACUUCCAUUGGGACUGUAGCAAAGAUUCAACUACCCAAUUUUCAAUGUGUUAAGGGAGACUCUUGUCUAUUAUUGUUAUUGAUGUAUCUUAUUUACGGGAAUCAACUAAGAGGGUGCUUGAUUUCAACUAAAAUUUAUAAAGUGAAUCAUGCCUUAAUCUAACGAGAGUUGACGGAGAAAAGCACACUUAUACUUGCGAGAUAUAUAUAGAGUUGAUUUGCUUGACAUCUACUGAUAAAAUUUAAGUAUCAGCAUGGUCCACCACCAACAUCAUCAAUAUUGUCUCAACUUAAUUAAUCACUUAUUACUAGGUGUUGAGUUUUAUUACAAAAGACCCCACUGAUAUGAAGUCAUGCAAAAGAUAUAAUGUUAAUUCUACUAUCAAGCUUAAAUACUGAUUGAUUUUUUUUUCUCUUUAGUUGUUCGCUAGGGUUCCGAUUCUGUCAAGAAAACUAAUCCUUCACAGAUAUUGCAUAUGCCACCUAUUUUAACGUAAAACACUUUCUUGCUAAUGACCAGUCUUCUGUGGCUGCUUGUAAGCAGAAGAAAACUCUCUUAAACGAUGACAAAAGUUCAAAGUCACCUCUGAAAGUCCAAAGCCAUGUUAUUUUUGCAAAGAGAUUGGUCACCUAAGGAAAGAUUGCAAUGGUUUUAAAAAUUGGCUCUUUAAGAAGGGUAAUGAAAUCAAUGUUUUUGUUUGUUUUGAGUCCAAUUUAAUUUGUGUUCCUCCUUUUAAUUGGUGGUUUGAUACUGGUUUCUCAAUUCACAUCACAAACACCUUGCAGAGAUUCACAAAACUAAGGGAGAAAAUAAAGAUGUCCACAAUGUUUUCGUUGGGAAUGAAAGCAAAGUGGUUGAGUCCAUUGGCAGUGUGCAACUUAAGCUUUCAUCUGGUUUUAUUUUUUCAUUAAGUCUUCCAAGCAAGCAAAAUCUCACCCCAAAUCUUGAUUUUAAAAGCCUUCCAGACUGCACCGAUUGCUGUAAGGGAAAACUAACUAAUACAAGAAUAAUGCGAUCAACAGAAGUAAAAUUCUUUUGGAGAUCAUACACAUUGAUGUGUGUAGUCCUUUUCCAAAUAAAACCAUCUGUGGCAACUCUUAUUUUGUAACAUUCAUUGAUGAUUUCUCAUGGUAUUGUUAUGUGUUCUUGGUUUCAUAAAAAUCAUACGCGCUUGACUGUUUUAAAAUAUAUAAGACUGAGGUGGAAAGAAAACUCGAAAAAUAUAUUAAAAUAGUGAGAUCGGAUAGGGGUGGUGAGUAUUUUGGCAGAUUCACAAAAACUGGUCAACAUAAAGGUGCUUUUGCAACAUAUCUUGAAGCAUAUGGCAUUGUAGCUCAAUAUACAACUCCAGGGACUCCACACCAAAACAAUGUUGGAGAAAAAAAGAAUAGGACCUUAAAGGACAAUGAUUCAAUCCAUAUUUUCAAGGUCUCAGUUACCACUUUUUAAAACAGCCAAUUACACAGUGAAUAGGGUUCCCAACAAGUCACUUCAAGUAAUACCUUUUGAAGCUUGGGCAGGUAGGAAGCCUGGCUUCAAUCAUAUUCACAUUUGGGGCUGCCAAGCAGAGGCUCGUUUGUAUAACCCUCAUGAGAAAAAGCCGGAUCCAAGAACUACAAGUUGUAGAUUCAUUGGAUAUUCUGAGAAAUCAAAGAGUUUUAAGUUCUACCGCCUUAAUUCCCAUACCAGACUACAAGAGACCAACAAUGCUGAAUUCUUUGAGAUUGGAAGAGGAAUUGGUGCAGCAUUCAAGUUCCGAGUUUGAAGAAGAAAGCAGCAAUAAAGUACAGCAUCCAAGUAUCAAGUUUGAAGAAAUAAGAUGUGGUGAGAAUGAUUUGAUUGCAGCACAAGACUUUUCAAUUACCCUCCCUGUCAUAUUGGCCCCUGAUAAUGCAACUCUACCAAAUGUGGAUAUGACAACGAAUUUGGAAGAACUGAUCCCUACAGACAUUAAUGAUCACAACUUUGCAGCACAAGUCAUUGAAGAUCAUGCAACGAUGCAACCUGUAGAACCAGCAUAAAUGACAUUAAUGCAUUCGACUAGGCAAAAGAAACAUGUGUUAUUACCUGAUUUUGUGUAUAUGCAAGAAGUGGAGUAUAACAUUGGAGAUAAAGAUGAUCCAUUGUCAUUCAAACAAGCUUUCAACAGCCAUCAAGCUAAUCUUUGGCAUGCUGCCAUGACAGAAGAACUUGAAGCAACGGAAAAGAAUCAUGUUUGGACACUGAUUCCUCUUCCACCAAAUGCAAAACCCAUAGGCUGCAAAUGGGUGUUCCAAACCAAAAGAAAUGCACUAGAAGAGAUUGAAAGAGACAAAGUCAGGCUUGUGGCUAAGGGAUUCACGCAACAAGAAGGCAUUGAUUACAAUGAGACAUUCUCUCCUGUCUCAUCCAAGGCCUCCAUGAGAGUAAUAAUGGCCUUGACAACUUAGAACUGCAUCAAAUGGAUGUUAAGUCAGUCUUUCUUUUGGUGAUUUACAUGAAGAUAAAGUCAUGAAUCAACCACCUGGUUUUACUGAGGAAGGAAAAUGAUCCAUGGUUUGCAGGCUCAACAAAUUGACCUAUGGUUUAAAACGAUCCUAUUGGCAGUGGUACAUUAAAUUUGAUCAAGUUGUUACUACUUUUGGUUUUGAAGAAACAAGACAGAUGACUGCAUCUACCUUAAGGUCAGUGUUUCAAAGUUUAUUUUUAUAGUACUAUAUGUGGAUGAAAUCUUACUUGCGAACUCAGAUUUGUCUUUACUGCACUCAACUAAAGGCAUGCUUACUGAGAGUUUUGAUAUGAAAGAUCUUGGUAAAGCUCAUUUUGUACUAGGUAUUGAGAUUAAGAGGGACAUAUCAAAGAGAAUGCUAGUUUUUUUCCAAAAGACCUAUAUUGAUAGAGUAAUGAAGAGGCUCAAUAUGGACAAGGGGUGCAGGUGGAGAGCUUCCCAUUGCAAAGACAGACGAGUUCAGCACUGACCAAUGCCCAAAAAAAUGAUUUGGAGAGGACAUGGAUGAAAGACAAGCCUUAUGCAUCACUUGUUGGCAGUUUUAUGUACGCUCAAGCCUGUACUAGGGCCUGACCUAGCAUUUGCUGUGAGUAUGUUGGGUCGUUUCUAAUCCAAUCCUAGUGUUCUUCACUGGACUGCUGCAAAAAAAGGUACUUAAGUAUCUUAAAAGGACUAAAGACCUUGUUCUAGUGUUAUACACAAGUUCAAAAUCUUGAGUUGGUUGCUUACUCAGACUCUGACUUGGCUUGCUGUGUGGAUGAUUGAAAAUCAACUAGUGGAUAUGUUUUCUUGUUGGCUGAUGGUGUUGUCUCAUAGAAAAGCUCCAAAAAAAAGGUAAUAGCUUCCUCAACCGUGGAGGCUAAAUUUAUUGGCUGCUAUACUGCUACUAAGCUUGCAAUCUAGUUAAGAAACUUUAUCAAGGGACGACUGAAAGUUGUUAAUUCAAUUGAGAGACCAAUAACUAUAUAUUGUGACAAUAGAGCAGUAGUCUUCUUUUCAAGGAACGACAAGAGACCUAUUACUUGCAGGCUGAUGGAUAUAAAGUAUCUGGAUGUUAGAGAUGAAGUGAGAAAGGGUCUUCUGAAUAUUGAACAUGUAGGCACUGAUCUCAUGACGGCUAAUCCCAUGACCAAGGGUUUGGCAGUUGUAGUGUUGAAGAAGCAUAACUACAAUAUGAGUAUGCGAGAGACUUUUGAUUCUGUUAAUGAGAAGGAGUAAAACACUCACAUGUUCCUCUUCUCUCUCUUAUUGUUAUGUUUCCUUAAACUGAUAUGUUGGAUUUCUUAUACUGAUUGUUUUGUUCUCACAUUUUUGUUUUAUUUGACAAAAUAUGAGCCAUGCUUUUAUUUGACAAAAUAUGAGCCAUGCUUGCUUGAGUCUCAGUUCAAGAGUUGGUUUUCUGCUUAUCAACCUGAAUUAACGAAAGAUGUUAGCAACAUAGUGCUCAUAAUUUAAUAUUUGUGGUAAUAGAGUACACAUGUGGAAGCAAUUACAUGUUAUUUUCUGUAAUCCAAUAUUUAAACUACUAGUGAAAGGUUGUUAAAGGUAUAUUUGCAAAUUUGAGGGACUCAGUGAUCACCUAUCACUUUAGUCAAGUAAGGAUCAUGUUCUUGGACACUCAAGGGAGAGAAUGUAAGUUAUGAGUGUCAAAGAACGAGUGCUCGCUGUUUCUUGACAUACAAGCAACUCGGCCAAUAUGAGUUUAUAGUUGAAGAAAUCAUGGAGCCUUAUCUAGUUAGGUUUAGGAGUCCUUAUUUAGUGCAAUUAAUCUUGAAAACCUUAAUUAGUUGACAAAGAAAUCAUUACCAUUUAGGACUCUUAUGAUACCCUAAUUGAUAUGGAAUGUCUCAUAUAAUCAGCUAAUAGGUCAGAUUAUAGGGAUAGUCAUUAAUAUAUUAGGAAGUCCCUGCACUCACAGUAAUCAUCUUUGCUUUGUGCUAAACCCCAUUUCCCUAGCAAAAGGACUUACGACUGCUUGAGUGGAGAAGACUCUCCAUGGCAGGAGCUUCCUCAGGUAAGUUCUCCAUUCAUUCUACGUUUCAUGCAUGCUCAUGGUUGUCGUUCUUAAUGUGUCGUGUUUUAAUAUACGCCUUACAAUGAUACCUUAAAUUCUAAAGUAGAUAAAAGAUGAAGGGCGAAGGUCUAAUUUUUGAUGUGCAUGUUGGAGUGUUUUUACUCCUCAAGCUUUUAGUCUCAUAGUUGGAUAAGUGGUUUUGUGAAAUUUCUUUUAAAACUUUGCCCUUUAUUUAUCAGCAUCAUUGCCUGCAAUUAAGUUCCAUAUUCGCAUAGCACCAUAUUGCCCAAAAACAUGCCCAUUAAGAUAGAAAGGCUUACAACAGCCACAACAAGUUCCACAAAUUUUAAUUGCCAACCAUCCAAAUACUGCAAAGCACACUACACAAAGCAAGACAAAGGGACCACAAAGUAAACUUAGAAUUACAAUGAAACACUUAUUUGAGAAUACAAAUUCACAUCAUUAACUUUGUGUUCGUUAAAUUUAAGGAAAAGCUUGAAUAACAGAAUAUUGGAUAGCAGGAACAGGUGUGAUAGUGUGUCCACUAAAGCCAGCCCCCCCAAGAACAUAUUCCCAUUCCUUCAAGCUCCUUUCUUUGCCUUUGUUAGUAUGGGCAAUCAUCACCAUAUCUAACAUCAAUUUCAGAUUUGCUAGCUUCUUGUCUUCUUUCUCAUAUUUUUCGUCGAUAACGGCAUCUAUGAUGAUCACCUUCCCCGUGUCCUUAGGAACGGCUUCCCGGCACUUUUUAAGGAUACGAAUGCAGUCAUCGUCACCCCAGUUAUGAAGAACCCCCUACAAUCAACCAACUUGCACUGUGUAUCAUAACACGAUUUUGUUGAGCAAGAAAAUUUAUAGCGAGAUAAUAAGAGAGCAAGGCUAGAAGAGCCACCCUUAACAUUAAUUUUUUUCUUCUCAAAUUAUGGCAUUAGCAGACCACUUGAUAUGUGAAAGCUGACGUAUUAAUUAACAUAUGACGAAUUCUAUUAGUAUUACCAUAAACAAAAGUAUAAAUGCUUAUUGCUUACCUUGAUGAUUACUGCAUCAGCCUUUGGAACGCGAUCAAACAUGUCACCUCCAACAUUCUCAACGCGAUCACAAUCCUGAGCAGCAGAGACAACAUGCGGAAGAUCAAAGUUAAUGCCACGAAUCCAAGGGCAACCCUCGACCAACAAGCGCAACAUAGUCCCAUUUCCCCCGCCGACAUCUACUAUUGUCUCAAGGCCUUUGAACACCUCUAUACAACUUUUAAUCACUGCAGGCACAGCUGCCUUUACAUCACAAGUCAUUGCAUCAUUGAAAAGCUUGCUGUGAUCAGGAUUGGCCGCACCAAAGCUCCAUAAGUCCUCCCCAUGUACUUCCUCAAACAAUUGAUUGCUAAUAUUUCCUCGAAUUCGGGCACUUAAGCCGUGCCAUGGUGCCAGCAUUACCGGACUACUCUCCAGCAAGAUCAGCGCCACCAUGCUAUUUUCUCCGGAUUUCAGUAGCCGGUGAGACAGAGGUGUUUGUGCAUAACCUUUGGAGCCUAAUUGGUUUGUGGUUAUUUCUUUGAAUAAUUUGAGGUGGACUAGUACCCUCAUGACGCGGUAAAGGUGAGAAGGAUCACAACUUAGAGCAGAUGAGAGCUCUAAGAGUGUCAUGGGGCUUCCAUGGCUUUCAAUUGCUUCAGCUAUUCCGAGCU
rnacentral:lncRNA from 1 species